UUUUUUUUCUCAAGGUAGGCCCAAUUACGAUGAUGUGGCAAAUAUUAGAGGUAGUUAUUGACGUUCUGCUGUGAGUGUGACAUGUUUUUGGGAAAGAACAUUUUAGCAUAACUCCCAAUACAUCGUUUUGGGAAGAAUUUUUUGGGAAACUUUUGAAGUUGCUCUAAAGUUCUUAAUUCUUUCUUUGGCCUUCAAAAGUUCAAACUCCCACUAUGUGACAUCAUCCGAAACUAUCAUCUUGAUAUUCUUCAGGUAUAACCCUUAGAUGGGAAAGUACAUAAUCUUUUUACUGGUUUCAGGUGUUAUUUAUUUAUUGAAUCAUACUUCCUCAAAACUAUGCUAUACGUUGUAUGUUGCGCUCCAUCGUAAGGGGUGUUUGGGAGACAGGGGAAUCGGAUGUUUGGACACUAAUUAGGAGUAUUAAAUGUAGUCUAAUUUCAAAACUAAUUGCACAACCCCUAGGCUAAAUCGCGAAACGAUUCUAUUAAGCCUAAUUAGUCCAUGAUUUGACAAUGUGGUGCUACAGUAACCAUUCGCUAAUGAUGGAUUAAUUAGGCUUAAUAGAUUCGUCUUGCGAUUUAGCCUAGGGGUUCUGCUAUUAGUUUUGUAAUUAGCUCAUGUUUAAUCCUCCUAAUUAGCAUCCGAACAUCCGAUGUGACAGGGCUAAAGUUUAGCCCUUGGUAUCCAAACACCCCUAGGGCUAGACACCAAGCGGUAAUCCUAGUUGUUGUGAUUAGAUUGCUAGCGGAAAGCCAUCAAGUGAUCAUAGUAUGUUGCUUCUUUCCGAUAGCAUGGGUAGUUUAACUUGCUAGUAGUUUAAGGAACUAGUGGGUAGAGGUAAUGAAAGCAACCCUAUCAGGGCCUUGUUUAGUUGAGGGUCAAAUUUGGCUUUGUACGGUAUUUGGGCCACCUUUUUGCACUUUGGAACUAAACGGGCUGGCAAACUUUGGUCCAAAUUCAGCCUUUUGGAUGUCCCGAAUUCGGCCCCCGCCGACCUCAUCUUAUCCAUUCCAACGCCACAGCACCGGCCGCACUCCGAACCCUAGCACCGCCUGCAGUCGCUCUCCAUCUCCCCCUGCGCCGCUCUCCCUCCCCCGCGCCGCUCGCCCUCUCUCCCGCCGCUCCCCCUCUCUCCCGCCCCUCUCCGCCGCCGCUCUCUCUCCCGCUGCGCCGCUCGCCCUCUCCCCCGCCGCUCUCUCUCCCCCUGCGCCGCUCGCCCUCUCCCCCGCCGCUCGCCCUCUCCCCCGCCGCUCUCCGUCUCCCCCGCCCCUCUCUCCCGCCGCUCUCUGUGGCGGAACCGUCCAACUUAAACUGGUUUAAAUGCGCCUAAUCGCUGCCGACGCAGCAAUUAUCCGAAGCGCACUUAAAACAGUAUAAGUCCGGUCGUCCGUCGAGUGUCCCUAGGACUCCUCGAAAGAUCCACGUCGUGUCUCAUAGCCAUACAUCAGGAUUGUAUCUGCGAUGGGAUAGCAUCAACAAAUAUUACAUUUUUACAUACAUACAAGAGGUACGAGUUAAUACAAGACAUAGUUUGAAGCAAACUUAACAGUGCAGUGUUAGACAGAGUUCUACGACUUAAAACAUAAACGGUUCGGGUGGAGAUGAGCAUUAUAAAACUUCUUCUAAGGGUAUUGUGAGACUCAUAACAAUACCCUAGAGUUUCGAGGCUUCCUCCUCAGUGGACUCCUGUGGUGCUUCUGAAAAGAUAGCCACAAGGGAUAACCCUGAGUACGGGGUACUCAGCAAGUCUUACCCGACUAACCAAUAUAAUAGUUUUUCUUGGAAGUACAUGAUAGCUUUUUGGUGUACUUGGCUGGUACAUUUUUGCCGAAAAGCUUACUACAAGUGACGCCUUAAUUUUAUCUUUUAUUUGAGUUAAGUUGUUACCUAACCAUUCUAGAUGAUGAGAAAAGAUUAAUUGCGAACAACAAGGUAUUAAGUCAUACACCAAUCAUUAUCAAAAGAUAUGACAUUCAUGAGUUUAUGCUACGAUGCUCAACAGUGAUCAAGUGCAUUCAUAACCGAGAAUUGCGGCGAUCCGGAUCAUAUUACAUCCUGCAGGAGAGUAUCUUGAUCACCAGUUCUGUACGACUGUCCAGGUCGUACGUAACGACUUUUCGAUUAGCAAAUCCAAUGAUUGGGAAUAAGACUACCCGGACCCAGGGACGCACCCCCACAUGGGACCCCACGUCUGGCCCGAUCACCAUGUGAGUUUCAGGCUACGCCCCUGCGAUUCUCCAGCACGUCAAUCGCGGGUACGAAGUAUUCCCGAUCAGAGAGUUUGCUAACCUACUGGGCUUUACUGGUCCCAUACCCAGUAAGUGAUUAGAUGAUUAUCACUUGAUCAAAGGUUAAGACAACGAAUCGGGCCUUAAUCAAAUUAAUCUAGCAGACAGAACUACAUUCCUAGCUUCUGCCCGCUUCUCAAUUUUCAAGUCAUCUUUUCAGAAUUAACAUGUAUGACUCAAAAUUCUUCCUUAGGGUUGGUAAACCAAGCAUUUAAGCAACUAAGCAAUUCUAGACUUGGGUUAUCUACUAAAGGUUUGAACAAGUGGCAAAGAUGUCCUUAAAACAAGGUAUGAUCAUGCACAAGAAUGGGUUUCAAGCAACUCCUAGACUUAGUGCAUACAUAUAGCAAAUAGCUAAAUACAGGACACAUGAAAUAUUGACUUCAAAAUAAUAGGUGUAAUGCACUGGGGCUUGCCUUGUUCGCUUAAAAAGUUAGCACUGUCCGAAGGGUUGGCCUCGCAGGGGACCAAUUCAAAGAUUUCCUCAAACUCCGAAGAUCCUUCUGAAUAUUCCGAGUAAUCUCCUUCUGGUGCUUCGGGGUCUAUAGCAUAACAUAUGCAGGGGUUAGGAAUGCAAAUUUUUGAAUAUAAGACUAUACAACUUUCCUUCAUGAUAGAGUUGCAAGCCAACAAGGACUAUACAAUUUAUCAUGAUAAAGUUGCAAGCCAACACACAAAAACCCGAAAAGAUUAGCCCACAAUUUUUUUUUAUUUCCUUAAUUAACCUUACUUAAGACCUUUCUUUUAUUUUUAGAAAAGGUUACAAUUAUUUUCUAACUUGAAAACCUAAUUUCCUAUGAGUUAAUAAUAAUUUGUGAUUAUGAAAAUGUUAUUCCGUAUUUUAUGCAUUUAAUAAAGAUUAAGUAUUUAUUUAAUUACCUUAAAAGAAAGGCAUUAAAUAAAUACCUAAAUUUUUAUUAUUUUUCUAGGGUAUAAAAAUUUUAAUGCAUAAAGGAAAAUAAAACAAGCCUAACAAAAUUGGUUUCACUAAUUUUGGACACUCCUAGAAAUUUCUGUGAUUUAAAUGGUGAGAUUCGGAUUUAAACUAUUUAUUCUAUAAAGGAAAUCUAAUUUUUCCCGAAAAACACCCCCGGCAACUUUUCUCACGCGACCCUACUCUACCCUCUCUCACUUGCGCUGGGCCCGGGGCGCGGACCCACCCUUUUCAUAUUCAUUCUACCCGCCGGCCUCUUUCUCCCCCGGCCGGGCCCUACUGGGCUGAUUCUUCUCCUCUCUUCUUCUCUUUUCACCGGUGACGGCCCAACGGCCCCUUUCUUCUUUUUCUCUUUUUCCGCACGCCAGCCUGCUGGAUCUCUGGGCCUCCGGCCGUUUUCUCCCACGGCCGAUCAACAUCGGCUCCCUGGGCCUCCGGAGCGCCGGCCCAGCUGGCCUUCGCGUCCGACCGGCCUGCCUCCUUCACUCCUCUUCUCCACUGACGCGCGGGCCCCCAACUCCCAGCACCUUCUUCUUCCUCCCGCCAAAACCGACGCGACAGGGGGCGGCGUGGCUCGCCGGCCGGCGCCCUACCGGCGACGGGGCUAGGCCGGGGAAGCAUCCCCAUGCCCUAGCGCACCUGUGCGCUGCAACAGCUCCUCGGGAGAUGGCCGGAGCCACUCCCUCCACGGCGGCGGGCGGCGGCACCUAUGGCCGGUCGCGGCCACGCUCGACGACGGCGCAACCUACCCCGACGACGACUACUACACCAUCCUAGCAUCCCAAGGACCUGCCUACGACUACCCAAGAAGGAAGAGAGCAAGCGCAAGGAGGUGCUCACCGUGAGCAGGAGGUGCGGCGACGGCGGACAGAAACUGCGGCGGGUUCUGGCACGCCGGCGGGGAAGCUAGGCAACAAGUGGCUAGGGGUGUUGGUGGGGUAUGUGUGGAGAUGUAGACGGAGGGAAUCGACGAGAGCGGCGGUGUGGUGGGGGAAUUUUACCCAGCGGCGGCGGCUUGGACAUAGAAGCGGCGGCGGUGAAAAGAGUGACGGUAAAAACGGGCGGCGUGGGAGCGGUAGAUAUUCAAGCUUUCACCGCGCACAUGAACGACAUCGUGCCCUACUUGUAGGCUUGCGUGGUGAGGGGGUGGUGUAGCUGCCGCGCUGGCGGGCGACCGAGAACAGCGGCGGCGACACGUCGAGCUCGGCUCUGUCAACCCCCUUCCUUUGUUCUCUGACGCCCGAAAUCUUCACACCCAAAUUGCGGUCGAUUUCCAAUCCGACGGUGCAUAUGUGUCUUAACCAAAGUUGUAGAUAAUCUUGAGCUUUUCAAUUCAUAUUUAAACCUUUGCUCGAGAUAAACAUCAAAAAGUCUUCAAAUUUGAAUUUUUCUCGGGCAAAUGACUGAACCUUUCUAUCCCUCCAUUCAGUUUCGUCAGUCACCUGACAGGGUCAUUUACCUUACUUCGUAAAUCGAUUUAGUGAUCCAAAUCCUUUUCUUCCAGUCUAACUUCUCUCCAUUUGUGUUCUACAACAUCCCAGGGUUCCAUUUUGCCCAUAAACAUGUACACCUCUUACUCUCCAUCUCUCUGAAAUCGACUCCAAACUUGGCCAUAUAUUGCUGUUUCACACUUAGUCGAAUUCAGCAGUGCAGUCCACCGUGACAAGAUGCCGACUUUGAGCUUCCAUUUGAAAUGGUUCCCCCUACUGUUCCUGAUCAACAACACCUGAAGAUGCUUGUCCAAAGUCCAUACUUUAAUAUGGUAUAGUUGUUUUGAUUCACUUAUUUGAAAAAUUCAACAGAAUUCAAUUUCAAAAAAUGAACUCUGUGCUGUUUUUCUGAAACUGCUAUUGUCGGACGGGGAACAGUAAACCUGUUUUUCAUUUUUUUUCUUUGAUUUUCUUGAGGUAUUCAGGACCAAUCCUUGUCCCAAAUUUUGAUCUUUGAGUUCUAAUCACCCUUACACCUUCAUUCCAUAUUUUUGCCGAACUUUUCUGAAUUUCGAAUUCAAAAUUCAAAUUUCGGUCAAAUUUGGCCCGAAUUUGAUUUUUAGCCCAUUUCUUCUUCUUUUCUUCAUGAAUUGCUUCCAUUUCUUUAGAGUCACUUUGAUGACUAAAAUGGCAGGUAUUACACUCUCCCUCUCCCCCGCCGCUCUGUGUCCCCGUGGGCCGCUCUCCCUCUCCCACGCCGCUCCUCUCACCGCCUCCGCUCGAAUCGAGCUUUCCACCACCAGAUCCAGGACCUAGUCGGUCCAAUCCACCGCGGCCGGUACCGGAUCCACCGUUCGACCGGAUCCACCAUGGUUGACCCCGUCGGCGGCGAUGGACGACUUCAACGGCGAAGGGAAUGGCGUGGAGUUCAAUGUCGGUGGAUCCGGCAACCCCGCGGGCUUCAAUGCCGGCGGAUCCGGCAAUGCUUCGAGAUUCGACUUCGGCAAUGUCCCCGACUACGACGACGGCCACCGCACAAGGAACUUGUUCUCCCUGGCGCCGCUGGGCUCAGGAUCCGGUGCGUACAACCCCUACACCUCCGUGCCGCAUCGGAACUCGUCGUCCACCUUGCCCACCCCAAGCCAGCUGGGUAUGUCCGGCUUCAACCUCAAUGCAAGCUCCGAUUGGCCGCACAUCAAUGAUUACGAAGGGAUCCUUCGCUCCGCCGACCAAGCGGGAGGAGGCGGCAGCAGCCGGGGCGGCCCUCCCGUCCGAGAGCCUUCCGACAGCGGUGGUCAGGCUGCGGCUCCCUUGCCUCGUCAGCGGCGACCUACAUCCAGGGUGCGCGGUUCCCGUCGUCGCGGCGCGGCUCAAGCACUGGACACCGACAACAAUCCGGUACAUUUCGCUGCACAUAUUUACAUCCAAGAUCUGGCCUUGCGUAUGCUUACAUUAUUCCCUGGUGUGCAUGAUUUGUUUCGGUUGGUCAUGCUUACUGUCAAUACUCGUUCAUGCAUUUCUUGUUCAAUUAAAUUGUGCACAGAAUGAGCCAACCAGGGCCAAGUGGACCAAAGAGGAUACUCAGGUUUUUUGUGAGCUUUACUGCCAACAAAUUAUUUGGGUAACUACAAGAAUGGCAACAUGAGCAAGUGGGGCUGGAAAGAUGUGCAGGAUAAGUUUCUAGCUGCGACUGGCAAGUUCCGUAACAGUGAGCAGUUUGGUUAUAAGUACAGGCAGUUGAAAUUGCUUUGGCAGUUCAUCGAAGAUCUUCGGACGAAGUGCACAGGCUUGGGGAACAGACCAGAUGGCUCUAUGGUUGCUAGUGAUAAGUGGUGGGUGGACCAUUCCAAGGUUCAUGAUCUUUGAACACCUCCUUCUGUACUCGUUUUCUUUCUCUACUACCUUCUGACUUUAUGUGUGGUGUUAUUUGCAAUGCAGGGGAAGCAAGACUGGUAUGAUCUGAAGGAUGGAUGGCCAGAAUACAUUGACGAACUAGACCGCAUGUUCUGUGAAGUUGCAGUGACUGGAGAUACCUCCUUUGUUCCUGGGGUCAGCCGCCAGAUAAACUUCAUCAAUAGCGGCGAAGUAGAAGAUGCAGAUGAUGACUGUGGCACCCCUCGGAGCUGUGCGACCCCAGUCAGCAGUGGGAGCAAGAGGAGCUCCAGCAGCAUCCGCAGCACAGCAACAAGCCCUAGCAAGAAAAACAAGGGCGCAGCUGUUCGGAACAUGAACAACAACAUGACAAGGUUCAACUCCAGUUAUGAUCAUAGGACAUCAGUGAUCGAAAGGGCGUUGGAGGAUAAGAUCAAGGAGGUUGAAGAUCUGAAGGAGAAGAAGCACCAGCGACGGGAUGCUAGGAAACAAGAACAGAAACUAGUUACAGAUUCAGCGACAGAGCUUGGAGUGCACCUGAUGGACGGACAACUCUGGAAUGGUGUGGUCAAGAUCUGCAUGAAUGAUGACCUACGCAAUAUCUUCCUGUGCACACCUGUUAAAGCAAGGUUGUCCAUGAUCAAGCAAUAUGCCGCUACGGUCUAAAACCAGACCCUAUGUCUUUUGUGUGUGCGUGUCAUGACGUGUAGUUGAAUUAAGUUGUGUUGGUUAUUAUUUAUGUUGUGAUGACGAACAUAUGAUGAACUAUGGUAGGAAGCGCUAAAUUACAAGCAUGGUUGUUGAAUUUAGUUACGUUACUUAUUAUUUGUUAAACUGAUUGCCUUUGUGUGAGAACAAUGGAUGUUUCAAUGGAGGUAGCAGGCUUUAGUACUGUGGCUACCAAAUGAAUUGUACUAACUGUUUCUGUGUUUUUUUGCAAUGGGUAGGAUGUUGAAGCUCAUUUUGGUGCACAAGUUGAAGCUCCAGUGGAAGAGGAGGACGUGUUGGACGAGUGGUGGGAACUAUUCUUGAAAUUGGUGGUAGAAGACGAUGAUGAAGCACCAUUUAUCUAUGGUACGUAUGGCUAUGCUAUUCAUCUGGACAAGUAUUGCAAUAGAGGACCGUAUAGGAAUCCAGCAUUGACUGGGGAGCAAUGGGUACUUAACAAGCUUGCCAAUGAAUCAUCCUGUACACCAUGUUUAGGAUGACCCCACACAUGUUUCAUAGGCUGCAUGAUUUGUUGACAUCUGAGUAUGGACUCACAGCAUCAAAAUAAACCUAGCACGAUUGAGGCUCUUGUAAUGUUCCUUUGGAUAUGUGGGGAACCACAAUCAGUUAGGCAAGCAGAGUACAGAUUUGGAGAUCACUAGCCACUGUGCAUAGCCUAUUUUGUAAAGUCCUCAAUUGUAUGGUAGACCUAUCUGCCGAUAUCAUUAAACCUCGGGACCCAGACUUUAGAAUAUUGCAUCCCAGGUUGCAAAACAAUCAGUUCUACCCUGAAUUCAAGGGUUGCAUAGGAGCAAUAGAUGGUACUCACAUUCCUGUGGUUGUGCCAAGUGAAAAGUUUAUGCAGCACAUGUGUAGGAAGGGCAAGACAACCUGGAAUGUCAUGGCCGCUUGUGACUUGGAUAUGGUCUUUACUUUUGUCCUUGCUGGGUGGCCUGGUUCAGUGCAUGACAUGAGGGUGUUUGACGAUGCAAUCACAACUUACAGAGACCACUUCCCAAAGCCACCUAGAGGUACACACAACAAAACUAGGUCAUUACUGUUUUCUAAUUGAAGCAUUGUAAACUUACAGGUACUUACUGCUGGUGUUGAGAAAUACUACUUGGUAGACUCGGGGUAUGCAAACCGCACCGGCUUCCUAGCUCCUUACCGGCAGACCAAGUAUCACAUCCAAGACUUUCAAAAUGCGCACGAACCACAAGGUAUGAAGGAGAUAUUCAACUUUGCACAUUCAUCUCUUAGAAAUGUGAUCGAAAGGGCGUUUGGAGUGUUGAAAAUGAAGUAGCGCAUAUUGUUGGACAUCCCGACCUAUCCACCAGAUACACAGACACGUAUUAUAUGUGCAUGCAUGUCAUUGCACAACUUCAUUAGGGUUAAUGGUGACGUUGAUAGUCACUUUGGUAUAGUGGACAACAACAUAAACUAUGUGCCUGUUGAAGGCACUCAGGAUCAGCUGGAAACAGUGCCUGCGCCAGAGAGUGCGGACAUGGCAAGCAUGAAUGCAUUUCGAGACAUGCUUGCUGAACAUUUGUUUGCUAGGUCUUGAAUAAUUUGUGAUUGAGGACAUGUAAUUGUUUAUGUACUUUGUGAGAAUUUGUAACAAUUUGCGGUGUUGUGAAUCUGUAAUAAUUUGCGGUACACUUGAGAAUAUUUUCCUUGAUGUUUUGUUUUUGAAAAUGCAAUAAAUUGUGUAGACAUUAGAGUUGUUCAUGCAUUUUUGCAUGACAACAUACAGAAUUGGUGGUAUUAAUGAUGCUAAACAGUGAAUUGCAAAGUUUGUAGAGCCCAAAUUUUGGACAUGCAAAAUUUGGCACAGUUGCAAAUUUCGGCUGAACAGUAAAUGCAAAGUUGGGAGGUCCAAAGUUGGGCAACUAAACAGGGCCUAAAAAAUGCUAGAAGGUGGAAGUUGGUGUAGUCGCCAUCCAAGGAGUAGUACGUGAUCUGGAGCAGUGAUAAGGGUGCCUUUGAUUUAACUUCCAAACUUGCUUUUGCUUAAAAAAUCAAAAGCACUCUUCCAACAUUGUCAAAAUUACCCACUUCAUUCUUUCCCGUCAUCUUCCCUCGAACAUCAGAGCACCACAACAUCCGCACGCUCUCCAGCGGUGCAUUGGGGUCAGACGCGGCAGCCCUCUCCGCCCUCCUCUCUCCUCCUCCCGCGUAGGGAUGGCGGCGCGAGCUCCCAGCAGGGGCGGCCGCGCAAGCUCCCCGCGGGCAACCGCGCCUGCUUCCCCGGCGGGCGGUCGCGCCUGCUCCCUCGGCGGCUGUGCGAGCUCCCCCGCAGGCGGUCUUGAUUUGGUUCGUCCCUCCAUGGAUUUGUAAAUUUGAGUACUCAAAUGGAUUCACAAGACAUCAACGGAGCUUUGAUUGCAAGUGAUUGAGUUGAGAUUCAACAUGGAUGACGAAUUUCACCGAAGAGUGAUCGUUUGUUUUCACGAAGGGGAAGACGGGAAGGAACAGAGGAAGAAGAUGGGUGAGUGGAGAUGGUGCCGACAAGGGGCAGGAUGCUGCGACGCCGGUUGGGACCAGGAUGCAGCGGUGCGGGAGGAAGCCAGCCACGGCGCCGGCUGGGGCUAGGAUGUGGCGUCGCGAGCGGAAACCGGAGGGGCUCACGAAUCCUCGUGCAGUUGGGGGGCAGGCGCGUCCGAGGCUCCGAGCUCCGAGCUGCUGCAGCGUCCGGGCAGCGGCAGGCCGCAGCGCAUGGCGAGGAGGUAGAGCAGGACGGCUUAGUGCAGCAAGUGCCAGAGCAGGCGGUGACGCGGCCUAGCUGGGGCUGGAAGGACUCUCGAGUGGACAGCAAAUGAGUCAAGGCAGAGAAGAAUGGAGUCAAAGCCGUGAAAGGAUAACGGAGAAAAAAGAAGGGAUACAAAUAUAAUAGAAAAGAAAGAGCAAUUGUUGAUUUAAUCAAUAUAUUUUUUAUUUUAUGCGAAAUCAUAUUAUAAAUGGUAGGAAAACAUAAAAUUCAUUUGUUUAUAAAGGCCUCCUCCAUUUAUUUAUAAAGGACUCCAGGCGUAUUACAAACGUUUCUUACCAAACCUACAGUUUCACGGCUGUUUCAACCAAACGGCUUUCAGCUUUUUCACAGCUCACGGCGACUUUUUCAUAGCCUACAACAAUUUUUUUCAUAGCCUACAGCAGCUUUUUUCAUAGCUCACAACCCAACCAAACAUACCUUAAGUAGGUGGAUGUGAAAGUUAGGACUGCCACGAGGAGGGAACUGAUUUAGAGAUGCAUACAUGUGUAGCAUAUAAAAAAGUGACAUAUCCUUGCCUGAGGGUUGUAUUAGAAUAGGCAGGCCCUAGCUAACAAUCCCUUGGCUUCAUAUUGCGUGGCGCCACAUGGUGCAAACCUCGUGUCCAGCCUUUAGAGUGAACGAUCUUUUGUGUGCACGCUUGGCACUCUUAUCCUUAGCCUUCUUGUGACAUAGCCAAGGAGGCGCAUCAUCUUCUUUCAUAGUAACCUUUUUGUUUUCACCUCUGUUGAUUUAAUUCAAACCACAAAAUACUAUGAGGGAAGGGCUAAAAAACACUGUGCACUUACGGCGGGACAUUAAUGGUAGCAUAAGUACAAGAAUGGUGGCAUAUAUAACUGGUGCUAACAAUAACCGGGACUCUUGUCGGCAAGGAACUUAACGGGUGCUCCAAAGGUGAAAUAGGGGUAGUCUUGGUGACCAUCGAUACCAUUGGAUAUUUUUUUAACUGAGUUGAUGAUUUUCUUUACUUAUUGCAUUUAUGUUUGCAUAGUUACUUCUUGUGCUUAAGUGUUUACUUUUGUAGAGUAGUCCUCUAGGACUUGAAACUAGGUUGCAAGCCUCUUAGAGAUAGUCACACUAGGUAAGUUCAGAGGACAACUAUAUAGAAAUAUUGUAGGCUUAUCUUGUGAAAGUUUUAGUUUGGUGGAAAUUUUAGCUUCGGAGCCCAAUAGUCCUAACUUCCCAAUUCAUCCUCUCCCUCUCACAAGUCACAAUGAUUCCCUGUACCACGUCGCAAGUGAUGGGUGCCAUAAAAAAGGAGGUCACAUUUUUUUUCUUCUUUCCAUGUAUGAGAAAAAUGUAUAUCAGGUACAUGUACAUCACCUUUGCAUUUCUAACAUUUGUAUAUAUAUCUCGUACAUCACUUUGCAUUUCUCAUGAACAUGUCAUGUUUGUACAUGCAUGUAUGUAGCUAGUCCAUUAGAGUGUAAAUAUCUCUACUAUAAAUUCUUCCAUAUUUGAAAGAAAGGAGCACUUCAAACUUAUUACCACCUUUAAGCUUAAUUACUAAACAAACAAGCAUUAUAAUCUACUUGGUAAUGUAUUUUUUGUGACCUAUUACCCCUAUGAGGUAAGAGGUCCCAUCUUUUAAUCCUAGCCUAUGCAUGGUGCACAUAAUGUGUAUUUGAUUCGGGAGUACCUUAAAAGAUCCAAAGUAUGUACAUCAUGCAAAAAGUAUAUAUAUUUAGUGCCAUGCAAAUCACCAGAAAAAUAUAUAAAAAGUUCAUGAUCAUUAAUAUGGAAGUACGGACUAAGACAAUCAAUUAUGUUAGAGAGUGGAAUCAAGAGAGAUAUCUAGAGUUGCAUACAGUGAAGCACUAGAGUUAUGAAACUUCCUGAAGAUGAAGUCAACUAAUAGUAGCCAAAAAAAAAACCGAGCACCGGUAUCAUGCCAUCCUGUGUGCUUGUGUGACCAUACGACUAGUGUACAUUAAAAAUAUAUUUUUAAAAUCACGAUUCAGUAUGACUUGAUAUCUUUGACCUACUAUUAAGCAAUCACUAUUUGACUCGAUAUCAAAGUCGGUUUUCCAAUUAAUUGAAACAUGGGUCAAAAGAUUCGCCCAUGAUCUAUAAAUACCACCUUUGUGCUUGUCAUUCUUUGCAUCCCAAGAGCCCUCUUCAUAGUUCAUAGUAACCAGUAGCAAUUGUUGUAGGACACAACACUCACCCCCCCAUGGACUCUACCAAGUCCAACGGAGAGUGGAGUGCCUCUGAGAUCAACAUGGUGAAAUCACUCAUCACUAGGUACAAUGCCAACAACAGUUACGCUGAUGAAAUGAACAAAAAGCAUCACAACAUUGUUAAUGAGAUCCAGACAAUGUUUCCGAUGAAGGAGAAGCAUCAAGCAAUCAGCUUGUAUGUUGAUUUGGUGGUACAGAUGAUGCAAAGUGGCACCGGUGAUGGCUCCGUCCAGCACUCUGUGGCAGCGAGCGGGGACCUUGUGAGCAACAACUUUGAAAUUCAGGUGGAAGAUCCACCCAUGGACAACAUGGACAUGUUGCUUGGCUAUCCAACAAUGGAUACAGGGGCCUUAAGGGUGGCAAGGGAGGUGCCAAGUAGGCAGCCCGCUCCUCGGAUGGCAAGGCUGCACACCAGGUUUUGGACCAAGGCGGAGCACAGGUUAUUGAUUUUCUAGAUAUCUUUAUAUUCUUUACAUACACAAUCUGUGAUCAUUUUAUUUAUUUUGCAUUUUUUUGGAAAUGGUUGGCAUGCAUUUCUUUUGAAUUAUUACAUAUAUCGCUAGGGAACAGGGUUAGUGUUUGGGAUUUUUUUAGAAUUGAUGCUAUUGGGCUUAUAAAGAGGUUUGCAGAGAAGGUGAGCAAUAGUGGGGGCGCUACAAGGCAUGGUACAGUAGACUACAUGCACUUGAGAAUAUGCAUGAGCGGAUACGAUGGCAGUAGGGCAGCUUGAAGAUGAUAGGUUACCAAGGGAGAGGUAGAGGGAGCAGACCUAGCGGCAAUCGAAGUGCCAAAAAUGGCAGAGAAGUGUCAGUGGAAGCAAGAAGUGACUGCUCAAAGAGUGAAAAGGAAAAAAAUAAAUAGCCAUUCAAACAAUAGCAUAGCUUAGUGGAGUAUUGAUUAUCAUGAAGCACAUAUAUCUAGUGUUGUUUUAACUGCUUUUGAGCAUAUCAAGGAGAUCUAAAUUCCUACCUCAUUGGUUCAUCCAAAACCCUAUCUCAUUUCAGGUUGUUCCUUCGCGGUCUGCAAGUGUACGGCCGUGGCAACUGGAAGAGCAUCUCUAAGUACUUCGUUACCACAAGGACACCGAUGCAAGUCUCUAGCCAUGCCCAGAAGUACUUCAAGAGGCUGAAGAAUGCUGCCCGUAGGCAACGCUAUAGCAUCAACGACGUUGGCCUCUACGAUGCUGAGCCCUCAGUGCAAAACAACACUUCCAGCUGGGAAGGGCUCACCUUCACCAAAGGCGCCUACGCCACCCCUAGCCCCUAUGGUGCUAGUGGUCAGCACACCACCAUGAACAAUGUGGCCCAAGUCAGGUCGCCCAUCCUUAACCAUGCCAGCCAUGCUGGAACCAGCAACCAGGCGGCCGUCGGGGCUGGUGACCAAGAGAUGGGGACUACUAGUUCUUAUGUGGCUCCUAUGACGGAGGGGGAUGGGGGCUUGCAAGAGGCUUUGGCUGGUGAUCAUCUGGGCGAUUUCCUUGAUGACCUAAUGAUGAAUAUGGACAUUUUCUAGGUUUCACAUAUGGUCUAGUAUCCUUAUAAGGUGCAUGGCAAUCUAGAUUAUUGUUGAAGACAAUAUAUUUACAAGCACCACUCCUACUAGUAAUUGGGAGUGAAUUAUAAUUUCGUAGCUAUAAACAUAGCAACUUGUAUUGAUUUGGUACCGUUAUAUGUAUUUGUUCGUGUUUUAUUAUUGUGGUGCUUGUAUUAUUUGUUUAAUAUAUCGACUAUAGUUAUAUGGACAUUACCGUGAGCUUAUACUUAAUAUAUAUGUAUUUUAUUGUUAACUAUAGCUAGGACAUCCUCAACCUCAGACCUCACGACGCUUCUCUUGACUUCUACUCCGUCUGUUCCAAAUUAUAGGUUGUUUUAGGUUUCCUGGAUUCAUAGAUGUUGUUAUACAUCUAGAUAUACUGUAUAUCUCACUACUGGGGAUUCCACAUGUACCGGUUGGUAACCCCCCUUUAGUACCAUUUAGUACCGGUUGUCCAACCGGUAUUGGCAAUUCCGGUACUAGAGAGGACCUCUAGUAUCGGUUGAAAUAACUGGUACCAAAGGGUAUUAAAAAAUUAAAAAAACAAAAUCCUCCCACCCGCCGGCCCCUAAAAGGAUCUAGGAUGUCUACUAGAGGGGGGUGAAUAGUCGAAUCUGAAAAUUUUACACGUAAAAUAAGGUUAUCAAACACGUCCGGGCAAAAAUUUCGGAAAUUUCUGGAAAAAUCUUCAGAUUUUUUCGGAUUUCUACGAAAACAACUACAACCUUAAGGUUGACCUGUUAGAUUUUAGAUCGAUGAAUAUAGGUUAUUCCACAUGUUGUUCUAAGACUUUUCAGCAAGAUAUAACAGCUUCAAACACACUAGAAAAGGAGAUCGAGCACAAACCCUAAAUAUGUGUUCUAUGCAAGAAUCCAUCUGUGUGCAAGUUUGAAUUAUGUGCCUUCCUAACUACAACGUUUGUAUGCCACACAAGCACUAGCAAUGACAACACGCAAGAUAGAAAUCAAAAUUUAUCACAAUGUGCACAAAUGAGAUGGAACUGAUGCUUGCCUUGUUGUGCUUGCGUCUUGCAGGAGUUGUACGCAGCUCAUAGCGACGGGCUUCAGGUGGAGACCAUGAUGAUGUAGAGGAGUGUGCCAGUGUUGCCGCCUUUGUUAGGUACCCCAGUGUAAGUUCCCUUUUUUUAGAAUUGAACUCAACCAAUUAGAGUCAAUCAUUCAUGGCUCAGUUAAUUAAAGAAAAAUUAUAAUCCAACGCCAUGUCUCCGUUCAAGUUUAACAUAGCACUUGGAACUAAAUAUACAUUUGCUCUUUGCCAUAUGGCAACUAUAGUAACGAUUCAAUUUUACUCAACCAAACGGCCUAAACAGACCCUAGAUAAACAACCAGUCUUGUACCUUUCCCAAAGCCCAGUCAGCAGAAUCAAAGUAAGCUCUUUCAUGGUCCUCAUAUGAAAUUUUAAACAUAGGUAAGAGGAUAUGGACAUUAGAGACAAAAAUAAAUUAACUUCUCUUGUUGUGGUGAAUGCAUACCAUCUCUUUCAUUAUGAUUAGAAGCUUCUACUUUCUCAUCAGAUAUAACACAAAUAUGAUAUAAAUCUACUUUCUCAGGACAGUUACGGAAUUCAGACAUAAAUCUUGACAUGAUGAACAAUAUCAGUUUGUAGGAUACAUACAAAUCACUACAUCCAAAUAACAGACUAUUUAAGCUACUGCGGACGGGGAGUCCAGUAGCAUUAAAACUUGGAUCCUAUGUGUAGGAUCAACCCCACUUAAUAAUUCAGUUACUAAAGAAAUGCUUUGUGAAAACCCUUUUGAAAAUGAACCCUUGCGUGUGUUGAAAAUCUAGCUUUAUUGCAAAUAAACCUUAGCCUUAUCCUUGAUAUAUCCUGUGCAUAUUCUUGAUUGUAUCCCCCUCCGUGGAUGAGGUUGGACUUGUUGAGUACUUUUGUACUCACCCUUGUUUUGUUGCUUCAGAGGAAGAUCCGAACUUCGUUGCCGAGGAUUUCGAGUAGGAGGUCGCUUCCACACCCAACGCUGCAUGUGGUGUUGGCCUUUGCAGAAUGCUUCCGCUGCCGUAUAGUCUCGAGUGCUGUCUCUUGGCAGUAGCUUGCUCACUGUUGUUGUUUAUUUACUUAUCGUGUCGGCGUGGCUUUUGCGCCCACUCUCUCGAAAGUUGUACGGUUUAUGAACCAUCUGUUGAAUAAAUGUGUUAUCAGCCUCCUGGGACUGAUAUUUGUAUCACAUUUAGUCUCUACUUAUGUGGGGACGCUUCAGUUUGGCAUGGUAUGGGGCUUCACUGGCCUUCGUUGAGAGUUGUGAAACUUGAUGGGCUUGUUGUAUUCUUGCUUACCAACAACUUUUGCCCCCAAGUUGCUUCAUGCCAUGUACCACUCUUCUUACCCCCAUGCCUGUAGUAUGAUUGUUCUUCACAAAUGGAAUGAGCUCAAUUGAGCCUUGCUCAAACUUACCUAGCCCCUUUCCAUCUUUGAAGUCAAAUUUUUUCAUGUAGCUUGACCCAAAACCCUUGGUAUGAUUUUCAAACUCACCUCUUUUUGGUGUGUUCUUCUCCUCAUUGAGAUUUGAGUUUGACAACCUAGCAAUCUCAUUCUUCAUAACAUUUAUUUGGGCAAUGUUAGUAGCAUAAGCAUUUAUAUUAAUGUUAUGACAUCUUGCACAACCAUUACUAGUAGAGGCACUAGAAGAUAUGGAUGCACUCUUCUUGCACAACCAUUAGAGCUAGAUGAUGUACUCUUCUUAACAAUAUCAUGUUGAGCUUCAAGUGCCAUAUGUUUGGCUUUCAAACUAGUGAGGUUCUCUUGAAGCUAAACAUUUUCAUCCUUAAAACUAGCACUAGUGUCCUUAACCAAAAAAAGCUCCUUAGUUAGUUCAUCCACUUUCAUCUUCUCUUUAGCAAGAGAUUUCUCAAGGCUAAGAAUUUUAUCAACUUUAGUAUUGAGCAAGUCCUCUUGCAUCUUGAACCCCUUUUUUUCAUUUUCAAGAGACUUUUCAAGGGCAAUGGUUUUCUCUCGCUCAAGCCUAAACAACUGUUCUUGCACCUCAAGAGUCUCAUCCCUAUCUUCUAUUUCCAUCAUCAAUUUCAUUAUUCUUUUAGAUGCUUGUUUGCCUAAACCUUUUAAAUCAUUUUCAUCAUCACUAGCAUUACCAUCAUCAUCAUUAUUGUGAGAGAGAGUUUUGGAGUCUACCUUUGGCCCUCUAGCCAUGAAGCAAGUGUGGGUGAAGCCAUCUUCAUCAUCAGCAAGAUCAUCAAAUAGAGAUGACUUGGAGAUUGGGGCUUCAAAUGCCAUUGUUGCCACACCAACCUCCUCAUUGGAGUCUGAGCUUUCUUCAUUUGAGUCCCAUUCUUGACCCAAAUGAGUUUCACCAACCUUUUUAUUGUACUUGCUCUUGUCACGCUUGGAUGUGUCAUUUCUCUUUAUCUUGACAUCUGGGCAAUUAGCAAUAAAAUGGUCCUCCUUGCCACAUCCAAAGCAUGGCCUCUUUGACUUCCUUUUACUCUUUUCUUUGUCUUUGUUCUUCUCAAAGAAGCCACCCCUCUUCAUCAUUCUCCUUACUCUUUUCAUGAAUAAGGCCAUCUCUUCCUCAUCCAUGCUCUCACUAUCACUAUCAUCAUCAUGUUUCUUGACGGUGGCCUUUGAUGAUGAGCUUGCUUCCUUUUCCUUGCUCUUGUGGAUUGCCUUGAGUGCUACCCCAUUGUUCUUCUCAAUUUGCUUGUGAAUCUUGGAUAUAUUAUGGGGUAGCUUGGAUUCCUUGACGGUGAUAAGGUGCUCUUCAAUUCUUCCAAUCACGUCUGCCGGCGUGAACUUCUUGAGUCCUCUCUUCUCCCUGAUCAAGAUUGGGAGUUGAACAUCUCUAGCCAUGUAGGCUGAGAGGAUCUUGUCAACCACUUCUCUUCUUCCUCACUUGUCACUCCCAAGAGACCUUAUCUUGUUAAUUAUUUUGUUCAACCUAUUGAACAUCUCUUGGGGUGUUUCAUCUUCCUCAAUGAUGAACCGAUUUAGUUCACUUUCCAAGACUCUAAUUCUUCCUUGUCUAACUCUCUAUGUGCCUUGGUGGUUGAUGAAAAGAGUGUCCCACACUUCUUUGGCGGAUUGCAAACCAUCCACCUUAUCAAACUCUUUGGCACACAAGGAGCUCUUGAUGAGAUGUAAAGCUUGAUAAUUGUGUUGAAAGUCAAGAGCUUGAUCUUGUGAGAGAGUAGCAUCUUCGGGUGGAAAAGUGAUACCUACACUCACAAAAUUCCAAAAUGCGGCAUUGACCGCCAUCAAAUACUCCCUCAUCGAGCUUUUCCACUUGGCAUAGCUUAUCCCGUCAAAAUGAGGUGGCUUUCCCAAGUGAAUUGACCGGAUGAGGUAUUAACAUUUAAACGAUUGUAAUUGAAAGGGAUUUGAUGAUACUCCCUUCUUGAACCGCAAGGUCCGGAGCGAGUAGACCUUGCAUCAUCGUACUCGGAGUCAUCGGAGGGGGAUUCGUCACUAUCAUGACGCCUCCUCUCACUUGUGCUUGCUCUACCAACACCUCCACCUUGAGCACUUGUUGGUGCUCCUUGUGGUACCACAGGUUGUUGGGUGGUGGUUGGAUUGGAGAUGUCACCUCCAAUGGCCACAUCUUGAUUCCUUGACGUCGACAUCUUGAUACUCCAAGCGGUUAGGGUUUAAUCCAAAGACCAAAGCUCUGAUACCAAUUGAAAGGAUCUGAGAUGUCGACUAGAGGGGGGUGAAUAGUCGAAUCUGAAAAUUUUACAUUUAAAACCAGCUUAUCAGACACUUCCAGAAAUUUCUGGAGAUUGUUCCAGAAAUUUCCAAAAAUUUUGAAAAUUUUUGGAGAAAUUUUCGGAUUUUUUCGGAUUUCAAUGAAAACAACUAUAACCUUAAGAUUGGCCUGUUAGAUUUUAGAUCGACGAAUAUAGGUUGUUCCACAUGUUGUUCUAAGCCUUUUCAGCAAGAUAUAACAACUUCAAACACACUAGAAAAGGAGAUUGAGCACAAACCCUAGAUAUGUGUUCUAUGCAAGAAUAUACAUGAAAGCAAGCAUAACAAGUAAGAGAGACACAAGGAUUUGUUACCGGAGUUCAGCUUCACACCGCGAAGCCUACAUCUCUGUUGAGGACCCACAAAGGGUGGGCUUAUAUCACCAAGCCACUUUCCUCCCUCUAACGACCACAAAGAUCGAGCUAGAGUCACUUACUCAAUCGAAGGGGUAAUACAAACUUCCCGGGAUAGCCACAAAGCUUGGAUGCUCAUCCGGACGAUGCCUAGCCGGCUAGAAGCUUGAAGCUUCAAGAGUAACAAACACGAACCACCGACUUGACGAAGAACGAAGGUGCUCGAGAGUUGGAGUUGCAGCUCUCUAGCACAAUCCCUUGCCCACUCACCAAUCUCUGCUCAAAUUCCCACCAAAUCUCACAAGGAAGUCAAAGGGGAGCAAGGAGGGAGCUUUAGAGUGUUUCUGCAGGUCAGAACAGUAGAGAGGCAAGAGUGGGUGAAAGGGAGGGGGUGAGGGGGUAUUUAUACCCCUUUACUCCAAAACUAGCCGUUAUAACAAAGAUUGCGAAAAUUUCCGAAACUUUCUCCGGAGAUUUCUAGAAUCUCCGUAAUUUUUCGAGAAAACUUCUGGAAAAAUCCAGACCUCCGGAGACUCUCCGGAAACUCUCCACUUCCGGAAUAUUCUGGGAAAACUUCCGAAAAAUUCUGGAUUUCUCUAGUUAGCACUUCUAAUUAUCUCCAUGUGACGUGCAAGUGCAAAUGGUGUCUCUCAUAGGUUUUGUUAGGUCAUCUUGAGCACCUUUUUCAUCAUCAAGACCAGAGAUCACGCAUCCCUAUUAAUAGUGAGGCAUUCCUAAACUCAAAUUCAAACCGAAAAUAAAUUUAAACUAGAUAAGAUGCCGCUCAACAUUUCAUUUCCUUUUGAGGGGUCCAUCACAAGUGCUCCAUGACCAAUAAUCCAUUUAAAACUGCUUAUGCACUUGAAUUUUGUUAGAUACUUAAGCUUUUGUCAUUAAAUUAGCAAAACCCACUUAGGGGGCCAAAGAUACUCUUCAGCCCGCACCCCCACCGUCGGCCCCCUUCGCCAGCCCCUUCCGCCGGCCCCGCACCCCCGCCAGCCCGCCCGCUCGCUCCGCCUCCGCCCCUCCACCCCAUCGCCCGCCGUCGCCGCCGCCGCUGCUCCUCACCGCCGGUGAGGGACGGAGGAGGGAGGGGAGGGGAGGUAGUAGAGGAGGAGGAGGAGAUGUGUGUGUGUGAGAGAGAGAGAGAGGGAGGAGGCAGUGUAGAGGAGGAAGGGAUAAUGAGGAGGUAGUGUGCACGGGGGAGGAGGGCGUCGGGAGAUUUAGUACCGGGUGGAGCCCCCACCCGAUACUAAUGUGCCUUAGGGCAUCUAGUACCAGAUGGAGCCCCCACCCGGUAAUAAAGGGGGUCACGGGGGACUUCUCAGGAACUAUCCGUUCGGUUCGGUACUAAUGCUAACAUUAGUACCAGGCUCUACUUGGACCGGUAUUGAGGCCGUGGACGAAAGGUCCAUUCCCUAGUAGUGUCUAGAUAUGUAGCAACAUCUAUGAACCUAAAAAAGCUAAAACAACCUACAUUUUGAAAUAGAUGGAGUAUUUGAUACCACACCCCCCUGUCAUCAUCGUGCACCCAUCCCUUCUCACUGAUCAUUCCAUUUUGAAACUCUCCCACCAUGAUCGUCUGGGCACCCCAGCCAGCUUGUUGCAAGGAGAGAGCUCCUCUCGCUGAGGAGUCCAUGAGCAGUGAGCACUGUGUCUAGGUGUAACUUUUGUUGGAAGGCGCAUUCUUCCUGUAAACACUAGCGAUAACAGUGCAAGGCGUGUUUGUUUCAGCUAAAGUAGCUGUUUGGCAAUCUGGUUUCUGGUCUAUGGCCUAGGCCUAAUCCAUGCACAAAUUAAAACCCCUCCUUGUGGACUCCACCUAAUCCCUGUGCAAAACCUCUCCCAUCCUUGUGGACUUGACCUAAUCCAAACGCAAAUAUUCCCCACGGUCUUCUUGUAAUGUGUAAACAUUUGUACCACAAUCUGGCAUGAGCUGAUGGGAGAUAUGGAUUGCUAGAUCGUGCAUCCUUUUGGGCAUGAUUAUAGAAUCAGAGAAAAAAAUGCUGCAUUUUAGCAAAGAACAAAGACCCUAAAACUACACUUUUCUGGCGCAUCAGAGGACCUGAUGGUGUUAAAAACUUGCAUCUCGAAGCAAACGCAAAAGGAUAUAUUGGAUCAUCCAUACAGUACAAUUACAAAUGGUCCACAGCAUUUUAGCAUACAAUUUCUUAAGCAUAGUAGUUCAAGCUCGACUUCUUCUUGGCCUGGACUUGUAUAAUUCCUUCGUUGAAGUCCUCGUGAGUCACCUGCACAUGCAGACACCAGCCUCAGAAACUACAGCAAGCAAUCAUCCCAACGAGAAUGCAAGAAAAAAUUGAACUAAUAUCAACCUAUAGAAACCAUCCUACUUUGAUGAACGUGUCAUUUUUUUCCAAUAUCAUUGUGCUUUCGCAUUGAUAACAAGUAUAAUAAUCAAAUGAAGCAAAGCAAGUCACCUCUGUAGCAUCCCGCCUUAGGGCAAGCAUACCAGCUUCCACACAAACUGCCUUUAGCUGUGCACCAUUGAAGUCAUCUGUCGAGCGAGCCAACUCUUCAAAGUUGACAUCAGGAUUUACAUUCAUCUUUCUCGAAUGAAUCUACAGAGAACCACACACACAUUAGUUGGAGCAUGACCUAGAAAACCCAUUGACAAACUUAAGCAAAUUAGACAUAAUAAGUUGUGGAGACCUACUUGCAAGAUUCUAGCUCUUGCUUCUUCAGAUGGGUGAGGGAACUCGAUCUUUCGGUCCAAACGACCAGAUCGCAUCAGAGCAGGGUCAAGGAUGUCAGCACGGUUUGUUGCAGCUAUGACCUUUAUUCUCUCAUCGCUGCUGAACCCAUCAAGUUGAUUCAGCAAUUCCAACAUAGUCCGCUGAACUUCUCUGUCACCGCUAACUUCACUGCAGGCGCACACAACAAAAUUCUAGUUACCCUACAGAAGAUAUUCUUUUUUCUAAUAAGAACGUUUUAUUUGGACAAAAAAAAUAAGUUUCUCUAAUCUUAUGCACAAGAUUAAGGCCUUCAGUACAUAAAGGGUACAAUAAUCAGCCGAGAUUAAUGCAGGAAUAAAACAAUAUAACACAAACUGUCAUAAAGACAUACCUAUCAAACCGCUUGGUACCAAUGGCAUCUAUCUCAUCAAUAAAUAUAAUACAGGGAGCUUUCUCUUUGGCAAGCUGAAAUGCAUCCCGGACAAGCUUUGCUCCAUCACCAAUAAACAUCUGAAACAGCAAAAGAAUGUCAUUACUACUCUACCUGGAAACUAUGCUCAAGAUAACAGAAUAAAUAAACAGAUUUUGCAUGGCAAAGAAUCGUCUCAUGUGUGUCCCUUCAAAGAUAGGGUCACAUGGUAAGCUAGUCAUGCAAUCAGAUGACAUUUUAGUCAAACCACUUAACCAUGCUUUGGUCCACAAAUGCCAUAGCAUACAUACAUUAUAAAUGAAAUGCAAAACCCUGAAUUAAUUCAUUAGGUGUGUCAUUCAACUGACUAAAAAUAUGGUAUAGAAAAUGCUUACUAAAACAUUCAGGAACACACUAGACCCGAACAAGUUAACCAACAAUAUUACAUCCAUGUCCCAAAGCCUAAAGGUAUAAGGCACAAAACAAGACAAACUAGCUUCUGAGAACUUUGUUACUAUAAGAGAAUACAUUUCCAGAACCAAAAUGUUGCACAGGUGACAACUGAAACCAACAACAUAACAGCAUUUCCUGAAACAGGAGUUGAAGGGAAGAAACCACAAAAACAUUCAUGUACAUAAAAAUUAACUUGUAUGGUGCGAUGGCGCAAUAACAAGUACUCCCUCCAUCCCAAAUUAAUAUUCGUUUUGACUUUUCUAGGUACAUAGAUUUUGAUAUGCACAUAGAUAUAUACCAUGUCCAGAUACAUAGCAAAAGUAAUGUAUCUAGAAUAGCUAAACCGAAUUGUAAUUUGGGACAGAGGGAGUAGCAAGUAUCACACAAAAUCGAAUUAACCUGAGUGAUAAAACAGAGCUCCUCAAGUAAUAAUUACCUGGACCAGUUGUGGACCAGCUAACUUCAGAAAAGUUGCAUUAGUCUGUGCGGCACAUGCACGAGCCAUGAGUGUCUUCCCUGUUCCUGGUGGUCCAUACAAAAGAACUCCUUUUGGAGGACGAAUACCCAACUUUUGGAACCGGUCUUUAUGUGUCAUGGGCAGCACAAUUGCCUCCACAAGCUCUUGAAUCUAUAUUCAAGAUGUAGCAAGGAAUAAGAUACAAUAGAGAAGCAAAUGAGUGAAAACAUAACAUUAUUCAUUUUUUAAUGAAUGGACUGGUGCCACCUACACGACUAUUCACUAAAGACCUACAAUUGGCUCUAGAUAUUGCCAUUUACUAAACAGAAAACUUACAAGGUUUCAACAUUCAUAAAGUAAAAUACCUGUUUUUCAAGACCUCCAAUAUCAUUGUAAUCCUCAGUGGGCUUUUCAUCUACCUCCAUUGCCUUCACUCGCGAAUCAUACUCUGAUGGCAGUGUAUCCAGUAUAAGGUAGCUAUCUUUGUUGACUCCAACCAGAUCACCAGGCUUGAGCUUGUCAGGGUCAACUAACCCAACAACAGGAAGGAAUAUAGUCUGAAAUCAUCAAGAUAUAAACAAAAAAUGCAGUUCAUAAGACACUUCUUACUUUAAAGUUGAACUUAAGACAUGAUUCAAUCAAGACAUGGAAGAAUGGGAAUUAACAGUAAAGUAAAAUAUGCAUAAUCCACGCCUGCAAGGCCAUGCUCAUACAGAAGAAAAGACUUUGGCUUACUGAUUAGAGCACAAUGUGACAGCUAAACAAGCAUAUAGCUGCUCUACAGAAUUCUUGAUUUUUCAAAAAAAAAUCCAAUUAUGACUGCUAAAACAUAUUCCUCUUUCAGUUAAUUUAGUUAUAUUAAUGGCAUCAUACAUGCAGCACCCAAACCAUAAAAACAUUAAGCUCAUUUUAGAUCCCAAUAUGACUAGACCUGGCAAGUUAAGACUUAAAUCAAAAUCCACUAUCUAAAGAUCAAAGGAAGCAGUGUAAUCCUGAUUCAACCAUUUUAUUGACUAAUUAUCUUCUAUAGAGGGUAUCCGAUACAUGCCUUUGACAAUAAGCCUUUUUAGUAUGUACGUUAGCAACAAAAAAAUGUUUAACUAUUGAUGACAUGAUUAUACUUUUGAUAAAGAAUUGCUAAAGUAUAUUUUCCAUAUUAUAAAUCUAUUACUCUUACACAUAUUAGUGGUCAAAGAAAAACAUGGAAUAUGAUACAAAAGACAAAAAUGAGAUGAAAAGAGAUUGCUCACUUGUCUCGUGGAGGUCUUCAGAACAACACAUUUUCCUUUCCUUUGUGAGUCUAAAUCAAUGUUAGCACCAUCCUCCUCAGCUUCAUCCUCAGGGUUCAUUUCCAAGAUCUAAAACAGUUGACAAAGGUUGAAAACAAUAAGUAAUACAGGAAAAUAUCCCAAAUUAAAAGAUGUACAGAAAAUCUGCUCACCAAAUGCCAAAGAUCCAAGAAACAAUAAUUGUUUAUCGCACGUCCCAAUAAAGAGGAGUGGAGUAUAGUAAGCUACUAGAUUGCAUCAUACUACAUUGUCCAAGUCAAAGUUUGUUUAAGAUGAGAUACUUGAAUGCUGCAUAUAUAGAUUAAAAAAGAAACUAUAAAACCAUUAAUUCUGCAAGAGCUAAUGUCCUAAUGCGGGUUCAUUUAACUUGAAAACCUAGCUAAUGUCCUCCUGGGGGUUCAUUUAACUUGAAAAUAUUCAAAGCCUCGUGUUGAAACAGACCAGUAAUCAAGUCCCAGUGUUUCUGGACAUUAGAAUUUCUAAUCAGACCAUUGUUUACUCAAACUAAAUAAUCACUGAUGUACACACAAACUACCCUUAACUAGUUUGAAGUGGAUGAAUUUCUAAAGGAGAACAAGAGAAACAUGUGUCUAAGACCUUUAUGCACAUAAGCUUAAAAUGAACAGAAGGAGGGAAAUUUCAAUAAAAUCACAAUAAAUAAGAUCUGGUGUUAGGAUUCCUAACCCGAACAUGGUUACACAAAUUAAAGAAGCAUUACUUUACAGACAAACUACUCCUUACUAAUUUGUGAAGGAAAACAAGCAGAACAUAUGUUUUGUUGCAUUUGUGGGCCUUACAUAUAAAGUUCUACUAACAAUUAGAAUGGAAAAUUUGAGAACAAUCACAAUAAAUAAGGUCACAAGCAGUUCUAUUAGUUUGCUCAAGUUUGAUAGCAAAUCACGUGACCAGCAACAUACAUUUCACUCAUUCACUUCCAUGAUCUUAAAUUAAGAUGAGACACAACAAUAAGCAGCGAUCUAACAAUUCGGAAAGGACUCCGAGGGGGCUGCGGCACAUCCUACCUCAACGAUGUUGCCGACGAGGUAGGGCAGCUGCUUGUUGAGCUUGAUCUUCUCCUGGUUCUCCUUAAUCUUCUCCUUCACCGACUCCAGCUCCAGGUUCGUCCGCUGCAGCUCGUCCUGCGUGCCACCAAAAACAAAACCAUCCCAACGAAUCAGACCCAAACCCUGACGCCGAGCGAGGAUUCAGAACCCCCGGCGCACACCGCGGGGGAUCCGAUCUAGGGCUCACCUUGAGGACGCGGAUCUCGUUGUCGAGGAGGCGGGAGGCCCGGACUAUGUCCUCCGUGGACAUGGAGGCGAGCUGGUCGUCCUCCGCGUCGUCCACGGCCAUCGCUGCCGCCGGGGCGGGGGUGCCGGAUGACGACAUCGCCAGCGGAGCAGGGUUUGGGUUGGGGUCUGCUGCGCUCGCGUCGGGGAAGAGAAGAAGCGAGCUGCUGCAAUGCUGCUGCUGAAGUCGCGUCGGGGUUUGGGUUGGGAACGAUGGAGUUCGUUCUGUUGGGCUUUAUCGUUGUUAUUUUUUUGAGAGAGAGAGAGGGUGGGCUUUAUCGUUGUUGGGCCUUUUCUUUUCGUCUCGAGUGAGCGGCGGGCUCCGUUGGAAACGGAUUCUGAGUACAGAGCUCUUCGUAUUCCUAAUUUGUAUAUUUGUAUACCAAAACGAGAUUGCAUUCUAAAUCUCCUCCUGAGCUGUAUCAGUUAGAGUAACUUAUAGGAAAAUUUUAACUGCAUGACACUCUAAAUAUAUGGAACAGUUCCGCGGAGCACUUGAACGAGCAAUUCGCGUCUUACAUGAAAAUUGAAGAUUGCUUCUAGAUGCAGACAACUUAACAGUUCCUUUAGUUAGUUGCUUGAAGCUUGUUAACAGGUUUGGAACAAACGCUCCAAGAUGAAAAUGCCUCUAAUCUAUCCUGCCCAACGCAAAUUGUAAUAAAAUCAUGGCAAUGACUUCAAGCUGUUUCAGUUAUGAGAUACAUGCAACUUUGUGAAGCUGCUGAAGUUUUGUCUUUCGAAGCAAAUCCAGCUGGAGAGCACCAAAUCACAAGCAGAGAAGUUACUUUUUGUUGUCUUAAUUUUAGUUGAACUAAGCUUCUUUUGGUUGCGUACAGAGCCUGCAUCUCAUUUCUUAUUUUUAACUUGGUUGUGCUUCGGCUUACUUCAUCUUUGCCUAUUGUUUCCGAAAAUGCAAUGAAAACACUGUCCAGCUUGAUAAACUUUGGUUUGACGCUGUUGAGUGCCUGAUCAGCCCGAAAAACUUUGGUUUGGAUGCAGUUUGGUGCCUGAAGAUCAUGAACAAGAAACUUUUCAAGUGGCACUAAAUCACCUGGAUGACACCAUGGACGAGUCGUUGACAGAAAGGAUCUUAUAGCUGCAGCAAUGCUGAAAAAGUGAUUGCACAUGAAGCAAUUCAUUUCAGGUGGUCUGUAUUGCCAAUGUCCGAGAAAAGAACCCAGACAUCAAUUUAGCUGAGCACAUGGACAUGGGAGAUCUAUGUGGAUUUGGCAAAAAAAAACAAUGCAUUGGCACUCUCACCAGUAGGGUAGAUACCAAUUUCUCCUCAACAAAUUAUGUGGAAAGUGAAGUAUUAGGAAGCCAGAAUUUAUAUGGUGGAAAUGCCAAGAAAUAGUUGUCUGAACUCAACACCACUUGUGACUAAGAACUUAAGUUGUUGAUAGUUGUUAUGUGUGUGAAUGAAGGUAAAGCUCAACUCAGUGAUCCCAUUCAAAACAAUACAAUUGUUCUCAAGCUAACAUUAACACGAUGUGAGUCACAUACUAUUGUUAGUUUAUCAAUACAAAGGAAAAAAAAACUAGAGAAUCUAAGUACAGCCUUCAUAGAUGGAAAACACAACUAAUUUAAAUCACAAAGCAGCCAAGUUGUAGACAUCCAGUCAACUUAAAAUACAAGAUCACCCCACUAGCUGCUGCAAGGACCACUUUACUCUGCCAUGGGGACCUUCGCGUUACCACCAUGAACUGCAAGGGUAGGCCAUUCCUUAUCCAGCCGAGAGACCUUCACGCAGCCUAAGGUUGAAACAGCAGGCUGUAAUCGCGUAGUUCUACUUCUGCUAACUCUUGCUUUGGCUUGUCACAAACAUGUUCUUGCUGUUUUGUCUGCUGCUGCUGUGUAAACUCCUUAUUUUCAUCGUCGUCAUCAAUUGCACACAUGAUGUAAAGCCCCAACUCUUCUUUGCUUAGUUUCAGAUUUAGCUUCUUUUUCAGCUGCAAGAGCAGUGACGAGAAAGAGGUAAUUCCUUCACAGCCAAUAUUCCUACAUAAGAUGUGGUGUCUCCAGUUUGUUGUCAAAAUCUCAGAAGAUGAGAUAUCAUCACAAUGGAAGUCCACUGAGAAGCCAUAGCAACCAUACAAUACCAGUCCAUCAUCCAGUAGUAUGUGAAGCUUAUCAACAAGGACCUGGACUGCCAAGACUUUAGCUGAGCUCCGCGACACCAUCAACACUGAGCUCAGCUCGUGCCCUGAUCGAUCCAUGAAGCGACCUCUCUCCAAUCCCUGUCCGGAGGUUUCUAGAUCAAAAUAGCCUUCCACAAACCCCACAGUUUCAAAAGCCUUUGAUGAUGCCGAUAGCGGUGCUGGUGCUAAAAUGGGCAGAACAAACUCACCAUCCUCCACCCUCCGUCGCGUCUCAUGAAGACUUUCUUGCUCGACGCACUUGCAAAAAACCUGCUUGCUGUUGUUCAUGGUCAGCUUGAACUUGCAGUAACAAUGAGCCUUGGCAGCCUGCCUUGCAUUGAUCUCCCACAAGGCAGCAUCCCAUACCCGAUCAGCAUACACAGCUGGCUUCGCUGCCUCCUCUUCCAACCUUCUCCUCCUCUCCUCCUCCUUCCGCUCACAUAUCUUCCUCCUCUCCUCCUCCUGCUUGCGCAUCACAUCUUCCUGCAGCAGUCUCCUCGCCCUCUCUUCCUCUGUCUCCUCCAUCCGCCUCUUCAUCUCUUCAUCCUCCUGAUGAGCCUUUCAAAAUCGCCCUUAUUGUCCAUGUAGGAACUGAUGAUCUAAACCACCACAUAUCCCAACGCAAGCCUAUGCAGCAGCUGUCACUUUUCCUCUCUUUUCUGCGGUGAUUUUCUCUCUCACCAGCUUGGACCAUCAGUUUUCUCACCGAAGAAUCCCCUUUUCCUGCCCAGGCUAUCGGCGCUUCUGCAGAGUACUCUGACGUCCUGCGAAACCCCCGUCUCACGUCGUCUCUCCUCCACGUGGCAUCCGAGCCUACGUGGCUCCGCGGGGCUACCAGCCACGCCGGUGCGAUGGGCCUGCUCUAAAAGAGAACACCCACGUGGAGAGGGGAAUCUGUGUUGCUUAUUUGCUGGUGGCGCCGCGGGCAGCACGGAGCCACGGAGACGGAGGACAGCCAGGUUGCGAGACACUCUGUCUGACACAGCAGGGGGCCAGGGGCAAGACGAUCUCCAAGUGGUCCCGUUCCUUCCGUCCCGCGCCGGUGCCGGCGCGCCGGGCGCGCGGGAGACGGAGCAGCUGCGCCAGCCGCCGGAUAGCUCGACUAGUCGACUCGGCCGGCGCCGGAGUGACCGUGCUGGCCGCAUCGGUCGACCGGAGUGCCCGUGCGCGUAUGCCACGUUGGCUGCAGGCUGCGGAGCGACACCGGACGGCGGGCGCGCGCGCGGCACGGAUCGAGUGCGCCGUCAGGUCGCGGCUGCUACGUGCGCCAGGACCUGCUGCCGUUGCGUACUUCUUCUCCCCCCCCUGGUUUCCUCUUUGUCCCAUCUCUCCGGACUCCCAGUCUUCACCCAGAUACCCACCUCCACUGCAUUAAAUGGAGAGAGGGGAGAGAAGGGGACCACCGAUCAAAGGGAAGCGAAAACUGCCGCAUCACUUAGGGUCUGUUUGGAUCCAAGGGCUAAUUUUUAGCUCUGCACUUUUAGCCCAAAAAUUAGCUCAAGGGAUCCAAACAGGUGGGCUAAAAGUGUCCAAAGAGGUUGAAAUUUGGAGCUAAUUUUUAGCCCCCAAGGAGGCCCUAAAAGCAGCUAAAAGUGAACCUGGACACCCCAUACCCCUCCUGGCGCUCGCGACCCUAGGCACCCCCGCACUAUCCCUCCCCGCACCUGCCCCUCAACCUCAUCCGCAACUCCUCCCCGCACUCUCUUCCUCCCUCCCCGCGUGCUCCUCCCGGCCCCGCCUCCUCCACCCGGCGCUGCCGGCGCCGCGUCGUCGGCCCCGCCACCUCUGCUCUAGGCCACGGUGCCGCCGCCACUUCCUCCGCCUCCGCAUCUGCCCGUCGCCCUCAUCCGCAUCUCCCUCUUCCGCCCAGGCCGCCGCACACCCCUCGCGCCGCCCCGCCAGAUCUCCACCGCCUCCCCCCGUCUCGCCCGAAUCCACCGCUUACCGCCGCCGCAUCCACCCUCUCCCGCAUCGCCGCCGCAUCCAAGGGCUCCCGCAUCGCCGCCGCCGCCCCUCUGGACAGUCACAUUCGGUAGAUCUACACCGCAUCGCCCGACUCCCUCCGCCUCCCCUGCCUCUGACACCCUCCCGCAUCGCCGACGCCACCCCUCUGUGCUGAGCUCACCGCCGCCGCACCUAUCGCCAGAUCUACAUCCCGUCCCCUUCCCUUCGCCACACCAGUUGCCGGAGCACCCGAAACUCCUACAUCCGCGCGCCGCCGAUGGACGGAUUCGGCGACGACGGCACCAGGGACUUCUUCGGCACCAACUUCGACCUCUUCCCCGGCGAGGGCAGCCAGUAUCCGGGGUCGGGAUCCGUCAGUGGUCCCCGGAUUGGCAUUGAGGCGCUGGAUCUCAACUCGCAGGCCAACGACUGGUCGUCGAUGGCGGCGUAUCAGGGGAUCCUGCAAUCCGGCGCACUGGCGGCGUCGGAGAGCACGGGGCCUCAUCAUUCUCAACCGCGUGGCCGUGGAAGAGGUACAUCUCGCGCACUCGGUUUACGCGGUUCUCGGAGCUGUGGCGGAGCCGUAGGAGGCCGCGGCUCAUCCUCGCCGUCCAGUCGCGGCCGCCGCGGUCGGUUGCCACCGGUUGCAGCCGGCGGUCGUGGUCUGCGUGGACCUUCCUCGGCGGCGGCUGGUCCAUCAGUAAGCCGUGGCCGUGCUCGACGUGGUGGCCGGCAAGGCAACGACGACGACGACAACGAAGACGAUGAAGUGCAAGAAGUGUAUCCAAGCCGUCAGGUAAGACUUCCAAACACAUGAUCAAGUGUUGUUACAUUACAAUGAAAUGCUUGUGCUUUUGAUGGGGUUUAGCCAUCACUUGAAGUUCUUAAGAUACAGUAGGAGGUUGCCAGCGCCUGUGCAUAAGCUGUGUGUGUCUGUGUGUGACAGAGACAGAAAAUAGGUUAGAGGGGGGGUACAGAGGUUAGGGGGGUUGCUUAUAUGCAAAUUAGAUGGUAACAAGUGAUGGAUAUGGAUUUGUAGCUACAUUUUUGUUGCUAGACUAACAGCGACCUUUUAGUGUAUUUACUUAAGAGAUAGAAUAUGCAUGUGUACAGGAGUUCUGAUGUUAUUUUUCUUGUGAUGUAUAUGGUAGAAUAAAAUGGACAGGGGAAGUUGGACAACAGAGCAGAAUAACAACCUCUUGUGUCAAUUACUAAUUGAGCAAAUUGAGUUGGGUAACUACAUUAAAGGUAGUAUGACAGCUAGAGGGUACAAGCUUGUCAUAAAACAAUGCACCGUAGGCUACAGAAUCCUAGAUUCUUUCCACACUUCAACAAUUGUAUAGGUGCAAUAGAUGGCACUCAUAUACCAGUUAUCGUGCCAAGUAACAAGGUGGUGCAACAUCUUUGUCGAAAGGGCUUCACUACACAGAAUGUGCUUGCGGUCUGUGACUUUGACUUGAGGUUCACGUUUGUUCUUGCGGGCUGGCCUGGUUCAGUACAUGACAUGAGGGUUUUCAAUGACGCAACAAACAAGUACAAAGACAUGUUCCCACAUCCCCCUCCUGGUAUGUUCUGGCUAUAUGUGCACAUUUACUAAGUUCAUCAUCAUUUGUAGCUUUGGUAUGUAACAAGAAUGUUCGUAUUUGCAGGAAAGUUCUACCUAGUGGACUCUGGGUACCCCAAUCGGCCUGGUUACCUUGCACCUUACAAGGGAACGAAGUACCAUCUUCCAGAGUUCAGACAGGGGCCUACGCCCAAAGGUAUGAAAGAGACCUUUAACUUCGCUCAUUCAUCUCUUAGGAAUUGUGUGGAGAGGUCAUUUGGAGUUCUUAAGAUGAAGUGGCGGAUGUUAUUGAAAGUGCCUAGUUAUCCAAUAACAAAGCAAAGUCAGAUUAUUGUUGCAUGUAUGGCACUUCAUAACUUUAUUAGAGAGAGUCAUAUGGAGGAUGAGGACUUUGCUCGUUGUGACCGUGAUGAGAACUAUGUUCCUCAUGAAGCAUCAACCUCUGAACCCCAACAGCACAAUACUCAAUCAAGGGACGAAGAUACAAAUAUGAAUGCAUUCUGUGAUCAAAUAGCCUCAAAUUUGUAUAAUAGAACGUAGAGUAUUUUAUUUCUUGUAGUUGAUCGUAGAGUUUUUGAAUUGUAUGUUUGAACAAGGAUGUAAUUGUACGAAUAAAAACUGUUCACUGUCCAGGAGGAACAGCAUCGUGUUCCUCCUGGCCGGCGCCUGUUCCUCCUGGACAGCGCCUGUGCAUGGCGAGAGGAAUGGCCUGGGCGUGACAGUGUCUGUGCAUGGCCGGAGGAAGUGGAGUGCAUAGCGUGCAUGUGCAUGGCCAGAUGAAUUGGAGUCCUGGGCGUGCAUGUGCAUGUGCAUGUGCAUGUGGAUGGAUUAAUUUGAGAUAUGAAUGUUGUUUGAAUCAAUAAAUGAGGGCAAAUCAGUCUUUAGCUCAAGGAAUAUUACCUUUUAGCUCUUGGAUCCAAACACCUCACAAGGACUAAAUUUUAGCCCCUUUCAAGGGCUAAAAUUUAGGGACUAAACUUUAGCCCAUAAACUCUGGAUCCAAACAGCACCUUAGAGUGAAAUGAAGCCUCAAAUUACGAUGCAAGUUUCAUUUUUGUUAUUUCAUAGGCAGCUAUUAUAUUUAGGUCCUGUUUCCACCCUCCUAAAACUUUAGCUCCUAAAAAGUGAUUAAAAUAUGACUAAAGAGCCAAACACUAUGACUAAAAGUGACUAAAAACUUUAAGGAGACUUCAAUUUCUUUAGGAGCUCCACCCCCUCCUAAAAUCUCCUAAAACCUAUCCUGAACUCCCACUGCCCUCAUUUAUUGCCCCCCUCUCUCUCCCUCCCUCCCGCCCAGGCCCUCGCCGUCGUUCCGCCCGCCGUCGGCGUCCCUCCCUGCCCGGCCCCUGCCGGCGGCGUCCUUCCCGCCGCCCGCCGCCGCCGCACGACAACCUCACCCCCGCCGCCCCCGCUCCCUUGCGCCGCCGCACGGGCCGGCCGGGCGCUCCCCCGUCGGAUCCCCGCCGCCGCCGGAUCCGGGCGAGGGAGGACCGGGAGGGGGGGUGGCGGUGCCGGGGAAGAAGAGGAGGGGCGUGGUGGCUGGGAUUCGAGGGGAGGGGGCGGCGCUAGCGGGAGGAGGGGAGGGGCGGUGGCCGGCGGAAGAAGAGGAGGGGAGGGGCGCGGCGGCCGGGUAGGGGUCCGCGACCGGGGGAAGGAGAGAGGGGAGGGGCGCCGGGCGCCGCCGGCGGGGGCACCGAGAGGGAGGGGCGCCGGUGGGAGGAGGGUGUUUGUGUGCAAGGAAGCGGGAGGAGGGGAGAUGUGGGCAAAGAAGGAGCAGGGGUAUGGGGAGGGUAGUAUGGUUAUUUUACCACAAUAUUUAUUGCUUUUAGUCAGUUUUAGGAGGUGGAACCAAACAUGGUUUAGGCCAUGGACUAAAAACUGACUAAAACAUUUUAGGAGCUAAAAUUUUAGAAGGUGGGAAACAAACAGGGGCUUAAUUCAUCCAUGGCAUGGAAGCUUUUAAUUGGACACAUCAUCAAAUGAAAUGAAACUCUAACUCUUAAUGGAAGGUGUGGAAAAGUUUCAUAGCUUGAAAACCGUGUAAACCAAGUUUUAUCCUAUAAAACUCAUUUCCUCUCUCUCUUCAAAAAUAUAAUACCAUGUCACCAUAUUUGUGCAUCUCAUUUAUGAAGAAUGAAACUACCAUUCAGAAUGACCUUAUUUCCUGAGCCAGGCCUGGUGAGCGGAUGGCACGGCAGCCUGCAAAGCAAUUUUAUCCUCAUCUGGCAGAGGGGUCCAAGCCGUGAUAAAUUCCAGGCACAAACUAGUUUGGCCUAGACGUGAUUAAUAAUUCCAAGCACACUAGUACUACUGCUCCAGUAGUUAAACUGCUAAUUGCAAAUUAGUAUGAUUGCUCACUAAUAAAUUAUCCAGGUGUCAAACAAUUGGCAAGUGGCCGGCCAUGCACGCCCGCCCAUGCAAUGCGGACGUAGCAUGCACAUGCACAUGCGGCACCGAUGGAUCGUCGCAAAAAUGGAUGGAGGCUUGUAGUAUUGGAGAUACGGCGUGCAUGGCGGACGCAUGUGAUGGUACUGCUAGUACUCGCUUCAUCUAGUGUGAUCAGUGCAAUUACUGCUAAUUGAUCAGCAUGAUAAUUGAUUAGUUACGUGCUUGGCGAUGCUCGCAUUGAUUUGCUGCAUGCAUGUAUGCAACCCGGCCGCAGCACGCACGCAUGCAGCGUUGCCUUGCCGGGGCGUGAUCGUUCAAGCCGAUCGACUAACCACGCAGCCCGGCCGGCUCUCCCACGUACCCUGACACAAAAAAAUUGCAGAAAAGUAGUGGCAGCUUGAACCGAGCAGGGAACCCGGGCGCCCGAACCACCGCUGCCUACCUCCGUGCCUGAAGGCUGACGCACGUACCGCCUGCCAGAGGCCUGCUCCCGGGUAGCUUUUGCCGCCGGUCACGGCGCCCGCGAGAGACGGACGGGGAGCUUCGUCGGAGGCGCAGGACCGGUUGAUCGAUCGAUCGAUGGCGCCGCCGGCCGGCCUUGCUGACGUGAUGCGUGAUCAACGCCGCCUGCCAUAGUGCCAUAAACCGCGCUCGCGAGCGUGGACGUGGUCGACCAGUUUGAUGGGUGUGUGUAAUGUGUGCGAUCGCGAGAGAGACGCGCGCUUGCAUUGCUCCAUCAUUCAUGGGCUGGAAGGGGCUAUCUACUACCACUUGCAUUGCAUCUCCCACGCACCCACGCGUGCUGCAUCGCUCCGAUCCCUCGCCUGGAGACGACGGACGAAAAAGCAAGGCCCUCUUCUGGCGCGCGCUCGCGCCUGGAGACGUUGCUGCCGCGCGCCUAGCAUCCUUGCUGGAGGAGAAACCGGCUGGGGCCAGUCACGCAGGUCGCGGCGCUGUGUAAGGAGCGCGAAGUGGAGCAAAAAGCAACACGGCAGCCUCUUCAUCUAAAAUUUGAAGGUGCGACGCGAUAUUUUAGUUUUAGAGUCCGGCUCUUCACGUGGUGCUCACCUAUAAGUCCAGCCGCACUACCUUUCACAAAGUAGCGGACUGUCAAACUGAUUCGUGUGCAACAAAUUUCAGUCAAUUUCUCUAAAAUUUUAACGUGUGAACGCGAGAUUUUAGCUUUAGGGUCCAACUCUUGAUGCGGGACCCACAUAUAAGUCCAACCACACUACCUUACAUAAAAUAGCGGACUGUCAACUGAUUCAUCUGCAACAAAUUUCAGUCAAUUUCUCUAUAAUUUUAAGGUACGAACGUGAGAUUUAUAUAAACUCAUAGGUUCAUAUAUCAAACCCAUGGGUUAUAUCAAUUGGUGGGACGGGUUGGGUUGGGUUUAGACAAUAGAAUUAUGGAGUGGGGCAUGGUGGGUGAAUGAGUUAAUUUAUUGUGGAUUGGGACGGGUUUCAACCCAUUAGCAGGCCUAGCUACUACUAGCUGGUGCAUUGGCAACAUAUCUGCACACUAAUUGCGGGCUAACUGAUUUCUAUUCGCAUCCAUCCCAUGCGGCUUAGCUCUCCUAGUUCGUCUCCAUGGGUAAUCAAAACACAUCUGGCUUGGCUUCCAAAGAAGAGGCCACCUGUGACUUGAAAAGACUGCCCAGAAUCGAUGAUCCAAUCCUCCUUGUAGUUAACUGUCGGAUCAGUUGUUGCUGCAAAAGCAGGUGCCUCCAUGUCCUUCUCCAGCUCAUCUUCUUCAACGUCCUGAGAAAACCCAGCUUCAACAUCCCACUCUUCUUCACUAGUGUAUGCCUCCUUUUUCUCUCGUGUGGUGAUGGCCACAUUCUCUUCAAAACGCUUCUCAUUCCCUUCAAAGUGCCUCCUUGGAAAUCGGCAAUCUCGAGCAAAGUGACCCUUCUUACCACAAUUGAAGCAUCCAUUCUUUCUUGGUUGUUGUUGCUGGUUUUCUCGUCCAUGGGCUCCCUCUGAAGAGCUACUUUUCUCCUUUGGAUGAUGCUUGCCACCUUCUAUCCACCUUGGUUUUGGCCUUCCUUGCCCCUUAGGUGGUCCCUUCUUUUUGCUUGGAAGAGAGCCUCUUAUUCUUCCUUCACAGUAAUGCCUCCCAUCUUCUUGACUAACUCCUCCUGAUUAGCCAACAAAUUUUCUAGCUCCACCAAUGAAGAUUGAGUAGGUCAUCAACUCACUACAGCUAUAAACCUUUGAUAUUCGGGUCUAAGGCCAUUAAUGAUGAUUCUCCUCAUACGGGCUUCACCAACCUUCUCAUCCGGUGUAAGCUCGGAUAUCUCUCGACAGAUGGAUUUUAAUUUGGUGAUAUAUUAACUAAUAGUCAAAGUUCCUUGAGAGAUACCUGACAACUCCUUUUCUAAGAGUUAGAGGUGUGCUUCAUUCUUCUUCGAGAAUAAUUUCCCCAAAGUCUCCCAAGCUUCCUUUGAGGUCUCCGCAUCUCGGAUGUGCUCUAGUAGGUCCUCCUCAAUAGUUGUCUUCAGCACAAACAUGGCCUUACCGGCUUUGAUGCGCCAUUUUCGCAAGGCGUCGGCUCCCUCCUUCGAAGAACUAUCGCCACUCUCCUUUGGUGGAGGCACUAUUUCGACGCCCGCAACAACCUCUCAUAGGUCUUGACCUUGUAGGUAUGACUCCAUGCAGGUCUUCCAAUAAUCCCACCACUUUCUCUAGCAAGAUCUGCCAUGGUAACUGACGCCCGACGUCAAGUUAGCUUUCUUGGUCCCGGACCAAUGAGCUUCACAGUCCCAGACUGUGCAUCGGCAGAGUCUCCUCUUAGCACCUUGGUAUUGCACCAAACACAGCAAGCACCCUUUGCUUACUAGAGAGCCUCCUCCAGACAGUCCCGAACCGCCAAGCCCUGAUACCAAUUGUUGGAAAUUGAUGUGGCCCUAAUACCCACUAAUCUGAGGACCUACACCUAUGACACCAACUCACUCUGAAGUCGGUCAACUCUUUUAAUUUCUAGUUACUUAGUGCGACGGGUUCUUUCGACGGCAAAGCCACCUUCUCACUUCCGGGUGGCAGAACCUACCAAUAGAUGAAGCUGAUUUUCAAGUGGCAGAGCCAACCUACGAUGAAGUUCAGACCCUUGUGAUCCCAGGUGACAGAGCCAACCUUCGAUGGAUCACAACUUAUGCACUAAGUACAUAUAAACUAUAUGGCCCAACCGGGAGACUAACACUUGUAAGAAACAAAACUUUAUUACGACACAACAAUAUUACAUAGGAGUGUACAACACCCUCUCUUUAAUGGCUAGCCUAGCACUCACCCUUUACUUCUACCAUACUCCACUCAUCUACCAUGCUCAUGGUUGAAUGGCAUGGCAAGGAAGGGGGCCUCUAAGGGAAUUCGAGAGAAAGGAGAGGAGCAAUUGGCACAUGAUCGAUCCCAUUUGGUUGGAGUUGAUGUAUGGGUGGAGAAUUGAUGCCUCUUAAGUUUUAGGCUAAGAAUACGUACAUUAUCAGCGUGUUUGGAACUGCUCCGCUCCAAGUUUUGUAGCUCCGCUCCGAAAUCAUCUUGCCAAACACUUCUAGCUCCACCAGUAUCAACUCCAGAAAAAAGUGGAUAUAGAGACCAACUCCAAGGUUUUUCUGGAGCUCCUCAAAGGAUGCUCCGAAAACAUAAGUUUCAUAUCUUCUCUUGGAGUUGGUGGAAAUUACCCACCAAUACCACUGUUUACGCGUACCGAGAAUUAGCAGAAGUUCCUCAAAUGUUCAGUACCGAGAAUUACUAAGCCUAUGUGAAGGUGGAGAGACAAUGUGACAUCAUACAAUUCCAGUUCUCAAAUGCAAAUACCAUAACCUCUUUUUGGUGCACAUGUGAGUUUCAAUACUGAGCUCGUUAAGAAUAAAGUUUCAGUACUGAGUUACCAAUGUUCAAAAGAUGUGUGAAAAUCAAGCACGGCAAUGCGGAUGAUUAGCCCAUCCAUGCUACUGUAGCAUUGUAGCUCUUGUUAAAAAAACAUCAACCCCAACCAAGAGCAAGAGAGAUUAUUUUCACCAAUUCCUACAAUUUAUAGAGCGGGAGGUUACACCAUUAGCCAAACAGGUUCAUAGCUUCCUAUUUUCCUGGAGUUGGUGGAGUGGAGCUAUAAAAAGGUGGAGUUGGUGGAGUGAAGCUGUUUUUUUUUGAGUGGAGCAGUCCCAAACACGCCCUAUAUCUAGCUUAGCUAAAAUAUACAAAUGUAUAUACCCUACAUACUUGAUUGUUUGAAAAGAAAUAGGGUAUUCCUGAAAAUACCCAGGCAUCUAUACUGGGUCCGCUCAUGGGAAGCGGCGAUAACCGUGUAGCCGGUUGUUUCUUUCUUUCUAUUUUUGAUCUUUUAGAUUACUUUUAUCUCUCCUAAUAUGUAAGGGUUCAGAAUUAUUAGAAGUCUUACCUCUUAUAAGAGGUGUGUUAAGCAAAGCUCACAGUUAGUGGGCAGCCGAGCCACAGGUCCACGUUAGCACACAGCACACGUAGGAUCAAGUAUUUUGUAUGUUCAUUGACUAAGCGGCGUUUUGAAUUAAGAACCAAGCUAGCGAACACUCCCAAAAUAUGAUAGUUUAGGACGCACCCAAGAUACCUGUGAGAACUGUUGUUAUAUUCUUAAGUGAUGAUGCUCAUGCUAGAAUAAACUCCAUGUAUAUAUUGUCCGCGUAUUCUUCGAGUCAACUAUCGAAUUUGAGGCGGUGGCCCGCACGUUCAUUGGCGGACGCAUAAUACUAACAAUGCAGGUCAUUCAAUUAACCCGAGGAUUAGGGAACCCUCUAGGGUUGGCCUUCAUUCUGGACGGUCCAUGUUUAUGAUGUCCAGUAUAGAUAUCGCGGCCACAUGGUAGUAUGAUCAAUAAUUCUGUUCAGACUCGUGCACAUGUGGCAGCACCAAGAUAAUACACCACUAAACCAGUUCAAAAAAGCUAUCUCUUUCUCUUGAGCAUUUCCAGUAUUAGUUCUGGUUUCCUACAUUCUUUACUUUCCAUGCAACGCGGUGAGAAGACACCAUCUAUCCUAGCGCUAAGGUCGCCGAUACGAACUGCAUUUUUGUUGAGUUCCUUUGGCUUGGUUGAAUACUUCAUGAUCUUCAGCCUUUUCCGCCCCAGACCCGCAGAGAUCUUCAGAGAUCCAGCAUCCCUAUCUGUGUGCUUGGUUAUUUUCUCCGACGUUGCCAAUGCAAGCCUGCUUGAAAUGUCAAUUUCUUCACGUGCAAGGGCUUUGUCAGCACUGCUGGAGCAGCUAUUAUGAUGCUUUCUUCUAUCCAUCAACAAUCCAUCCAACUUAGAAACCAAGCAACCAGAGUGCAGGCUUAUCUUGAUAUUUGCUUCUGCUCUGCACGCUGAUGCUGUUGCAACUGAAAUGGCAUCAUGCGGGUGACUAAGUGCCACUUGAAGAAGUUGCUGCUUCUGACUCAAGGGUCCAUCACUAAUGAGCUGGCUCAUGUUCAGGCACUUGAGUAUCUUGAGCCAAAGUUUCUCAAGCUGGUAAAUGAUUUUCCCUUGUUGCAUUUCGCAGUACAAUGUGGCAGAUAAAGAGAGCCACUCAGUAAGUUGAUCUCCAAUAAUCUGCAAGGAUGAAAUGGUGUACUCAUGCAGUUAGGCAUAAAGUAUAUGUGCUUGUCAAAUGAGGCUGACGCCCCUAUAAACAUUAGGAGCUAUAUAAGUACUUUGUUCUGGAAAUAUGCACAAACCUCGAAAAGAAGAAGAAUAUCUUUCUUUAAUACAACAUGCCUAACAAAAUUGGAUAAAGACGAAAAAAACCUGAAGCACAACCAAGAUAAGAGUAGUAGUUAGAUAUAAACUCAAGUACACAGCCUGGAGCAGCUUACUGCCAUUAAAACCAACAAACAAGAUUGCAAUUUUGUAAAUCUGGUUAACUACCUGCUUGUAACUUGGUGCUGUCCAGCUGGAUUUGCUUUGAAACCAAAUCUUGAAAACUUCAUAAACCUGCACAUAUCAUGAAACGCUUAGAAAUUAUUGAAACAGAUUGAGGUCAUAGCCAUUUUAGACAUGAUAUAUUCGAUGUGAUUUGUUUAGAAGUGAAGGUCAACAGACCUGUUAGCGAGGUUCAAGCAGCUCAAGAAAAGGUUAAGAUGCCUGGAUCCAGUAAAGUCUUCAUUUGCUUCAUUCAAUUCUUGGUUAGCAUAUGCCAAAAUUUGAUCAUUCUCUAAUAGUCCAAUAACUACUUCACCAAGAGCUGAAAGGAUAGCAGUAUUUUCAAACUUUUCUGGGCAAUGCUCAAGGUUGGCUUGGAACAAUGCCGUGUGUUCAUCAAUAAUGUUAACCAAAUAGUCAUAAAAACCCUCAAAGAAAACCUUGGGUGCAGCCUUUGAAUUACAGGAGCUUGUACAGAGGGAUCUAUAAACUUCAAUGGCUAAUUCCACCUCUAGGUCUUGCAUAACAGGAGCACAUGAGCUAUUUUCAGCAUUCCAAGGAAUGGAUAAGCCCCCAGGGUAUAAAAAACUAGAAAAUGGAUAACAGAAGAACUGGUGGAGCACAUCAUAGGAACUUGAUCCAGGACUAGCUUUCAAAUAAGAGAUAGUUAUGUCAUUCAAUUGUUUAGCAAAUUUGUUCCACACCAUUAACCAUUUUAAUCUUUGCCUAUUAAAUAUCGGGCACAUGAUCUGCAUGUACAUAAAAGCGACAACAACAUGAAAACUCUUCAGGAUAUCUGAUGAAGAGAGAAUUAAAGCCAACUUCUCAGCAUCUCCAUGCGACAGCACUCCAGUAUACUGAGCUACCAUGGUCAGAGAUAGUGCAGUCAUGUAAACUGCUGGAGAAACCAUCUCCAUGUAAGAAAGUGGUCUGAUUCCUGGAAAAGAGAACUUCCGAGUGCAUUCGGCAUAUUGGAUCUCCUUUAUGUGUUCGAUGUCCAAGCAUAUCUCAAUCUUUUCAGAAUUUAAAAGAGAAUGAUCCAACUCCCCCACAAUAACUUCCACAAACUGGAGACCAAAUUCCAGUAACAUUGCACACUUGUUACCACUAUGCUUUCCUACAUGAUCCAGAAACAACUUCGUCUUUACAAACUUGCAAACAUCAGUAAUGCAAAGCCUAACUUGUUCAUAAGAACACUUUUCUUUAAGUUCAAUUUGAACUCCUCCUAGAAGAAACUUGAAUAUCUCUGUUGCAGAAUCCAUAACAAUCAGCAUCUUUUCAGGAAUCAUAUCCUGAAACAGUUCUGGAUUCAGAAUUGUGCCAAGAAUGUCGAGUUGGAAAUGAAAGCAACCAAUGUCCCAUGGUAACCAUUUGAUAUGCUGAAAAUCCAGCAAGGCCUUGAGAUGCAUGCAAGAUUGGGCAACCAAAUUCCAAUUCACUGGAGUAUACAAAUCCUCUCUGUGCCUACUUUUUGAUUUACUAAAAUCAUGAAAUAGGUUCAUGCAAAAUGACCACAGCGGCUUGUUCUGAUCAUUGAUUCCAACAGAGAAAAUUAUUUUGAGUAUUGGCGCAAAAGCAGCCUCCAGUAUGGGUAAACAAUUGAUCAAAUUACCAAGUCUAUGUAGAAGGUAAUUCCAUGUACUCAAACAAGAAGAGCUCAGAACAAUAUUACGACUUCUCGAAAGAACUCGACAUAAAGGCACCAUAAUUAACCUUGUCCUUUUCACCUGAGCACUUGCAUGUUCUCUGGGUUCUAAUGGGGCAAUCACAGUUUCGUGACUCUCAGACUCUGUAGCCUGAGAUGGAAAAAAUGCAUCUACCAAAUUUCUCCAGGAAACCUGUGAAUCUAAAUGGCUAUCAUAAUGUAAUAGAGAACUUCAUGUUACUAGAAAAGUUAUUGUGCAUCAGAAAAAGAAGAGAUAGUGUAACUCACCAUUGUAGCAAUCUGAACUUGUGUGUCUAGAUCAAUGAACAUCUGUUCUGGAACCUUUAGGAGUUUAUUGAGUAGAGGUCUAUUAUUCACUGCAUCUGGACCAAGAAAAGAUAUGAUCCAUCCCCAUGACUUCACUACUUGAACUUUCUUCGAAGCAUCAUCAAGCAUAUUCAUCAUGUGGGAGAGUAGCUUUCGCUCAAGGUCUAAAGCUACAGCCUAUACAGCAAGCAUCAAAAUAAAGCUAAAUGAGAAAAAAAUCACCAGAUGAGCUCAUACAAAACUGAACUAUUAUAGCAAGUAAAACAUAUAAAAUAUGCAAAGUUGCAGGGAGACAGCACUCAAUCAUUCAAUAAGCCAAAUCCAGGGAACACAAAAGGUAUAUAAAACAAAUCACAUAUAAAAUGCCAUACAAAACCUAGAAUAAAAACAUACAUUCUAGGCAAUGUAUACGUUUCUCUAAAUUAAUCUGAUAAUAAUUCCCUGUUUGAACUGGUAUAUGGCUUCUAUAAUCAUUUAGACUAUAAGUAAUAAAACCGCAGGGAUUUCAAUACUACAAACUAAACAAGGAAAUGUUUAUGAAGCCUCCAAGGCCUAUGAACAUGAUGUUUGAGUCUUCUUAAUGCUGAUAUGUUGUUCGUUCAAUAAAAAAAAUGCUGAUAUCUUGUAGAUGGCAAAUUAGUUCGGUGUCAUUUUACUCAUCUCUACAAAAGGUACACUUCGGUCACUAUAGUGUGUCACAAGGAAAUUAAUGUCACUAAUUGGUCAAACUAAAGUAAUUCAGCUGAAUUUCCUUAGCACCCAAGCCACAUCAAGAAAAAUAUGUAUGCAUUAGGACUUAUCCAUAUGAAGCUGCUCAAGGUUAUCACAAUGUGUCACCUGAUUUCUUUAUACCUUUGAGUGACUGUAUUAAAGUGGUUGCACCCAGGUAGUCGGUAUUUGGGUUGGCUUACACAAUAACAAAAGUUGAUCCAUUUAGAGAAAAACAAAAAUCCACAACAAGUUGUAUAUACCCGGUGAAUUCGGAUGCAACAGAUCACAGUAUUUAGUGACUAACAGGAUAGAUCAAAUUAUUAAAUUCUAUGUGAAUUAAACAAUCUGUAGUAACACCGAUCUUUCAGUUACCUUGGAAAGAAGCGGUUGAGGUGGUAGGAUAACGUGCGACACUUUAAUGAGGCAUCUUUCUGCCAUGUCCCUUUCUGGUUUAUCAGCACUUAAGAGUCUUUGGUAUAUUGGUGGAACCCAUAAGCUUGAUAGGUCCCUCAUUCUUUUGUGACUUUGACAAGCAAGCUUCAUGAUAGCCUUCAUUGGAAGUUUCCAAAAAGCAGCACUAAGUCAAAUUAUGAGAUUACACGAUAAAGCAAGAGAAACAAAGAUCAAGAUAUACAUUGAGUAGUUUUCUUGCAGUCUAUGGUACACGAGGAAAGAUCAUACAGACAGUGCCGGCCCUGGGGGUGGGCCAGGUGUGCGGCCGCCCUGGGCCCCCAAAUCCCAGGGGCCCCACCCUAGAUGGCAGGUUACCUAUAUUGCCUAAAUCGUGAUUAAUAGAUCAAAGCUUUUAAUCUGUGUCGACCGCCGCCGCCGCCCAGAACUGCCGCCACCACGUCAGGUCACAGCAACAUCGAUGAUAACAAUGUAAGUGACUCUGAGAACACAGUAAAUGCAUCAGGUGCACAUGCACAGUCUGCUAGUGUUGACGAGGAACCAGUUUACACUUCAGAUAUUUAUGAUCCAAGAAAUUGGGAUAAUCUUGAUAAUAAAGCAAGAGACAUAUUAGUUGAGAAAGGGCCUAUAAGAGAAGAAAAUAACGAAUUUCCUCUAGAUGCUGCCUCAAGACAUUUUUCAUAUGUUCAUUAUUCUAGAAAAUUAAGCAAUGGAGAGGUACAUGAUAGAAAAUGGUUAGUUUAUUCAAAGCAUGUUGACAAAGUUUUUUGUUUCUGCUGUAAGAUCUUCAAGUCUAGCACUAGCAAGAGUCGUAGUUUCUUAGCAGGCGAUGGGUUUAGAAAUUGGAGGCAUAUCAGUGAGAAGCUUAGAGAACAUGAAAAUAGUGUCGAGCAUAUUAGUAACAUGAACAGUUGGAAUGAUUUGAGAGCUAGACUGCGGAAAAAUGAAACAAUUGAUAAAGAAUUGCAGCAGCAAAUCACAAAGGAGAAAGAACGGUUGCGGCAAGUUUUGUUAAGAAUAAUAGCCAUUGUGAAAUUUCUUGGUAAACGCAAUUUGGCUUUCAGAGGAAGCAGUGAGCAGCUUUAUAAUGAUAGUAAUGGUAAUUUUUUAGCUUGUGCUGAGAUGAUUGCAGAAUUUGACGUGGUAAUGCAAGACCACCUUAGGCGCAUUCAGAACAAAGAAAUUCAUUAUCAUUAUCUCAGCCAUAAAAUUCAGAAUGAGUUGAUAUCUCUUUUGGCUUCCGAUAUCACAAGUUCUAUCAUAAAGGUUGUUAAAGAGGCCAAAUAUUUCUCCAUUAUCCUAGAUUGUACCCCUGAUGUCAGUCAUCAAGAACAAAUGACUUUAUUAGUUCGAUGUGUUAAUUUGUCUGCUGGCAAGAUAAAAAUUGAGGAGUACUUUUUGGGAUUCCUAAAGGUGGAUGACACAUCUGGUUUGAGGCUUUUUAAUGUAUUGCUUGAAUCUAUGGAGUCUUUUGGCCUAAAAAUUAGUGACAUAAGGGGUCAAGGCUAUGACAAUGGUUCUAAUAUGAAAGGAAAAUACAAAGGGGUAAAAAAACGGUUACUUGAUAUCAAUCCAAGAGCAUUGUAUAUGCCAUGUGCGUGUCAUAGUCUAAAUCUUACUCUUUUUGAUAUGGCAAAAUCUAGUGGGAAAGCUGUUUCAUUUUUUGGAAUUGUUCAACGCAUAUAUGUAUUAUUUGCUGGUUCUACGAAAAGGUGGAAUGUUUUGCUUAAACAUGUUCCUAGUCUAACUGUGAAAUCAUUGUCCAAUACUCGUUGGGAGAGUCGAAUCAAAAGUGUUACAGCAAUAAGAUAUCAAGCUACUGAGUUAAGAUCUGCUUUGUCUGAGUUACAUCAUGCUUCUGACAUUGAACCUAAGGAUAGAAGUGAUGCAAAAAAUUUAUUUGAUGCACUUGGCAGCUUUGAGUUUCUACUUGGUAUGGUUAUCUGGCAUGAUAUUUUAUUUGCUGUAAAUAAAGUGAGCAAGAAGUUGCAAUCGCCAGCCAUGUGCAUUGACUCUACUUUGAAACAAAUACAAGGUAUAAUGCAAUACUUUGAGAAUUACAGAAAUGAGGGAUUUUCUUCUAGUCUGAUCAUCGCCAAAGGUAUUGCAACAGACAUGGGUGUAGGGGCAACAUUUCUAGAAAAACGUCGUGCUACGAGGAAGAAACAAUUUGAUGAUGAAAGUAAUUGUCAAGAAGAAAUUUUUGAAGCUGAGAAGGCUUUUGAAGUUGAAUAUUUUUUUGUUUUGGUUGAUAUGGCGAUUGGUUCUUUGAAGAAGAGAUUUGAAGAACUUAUGGUGUUUAAAGAUAUAUUCGAAUUUUUGAUGAGCUCAAGCACUUUGAAGUCAUUAAAUGAUAAUGAACUUGAAGAAUGUUGCACUAAAUUUGCCGAAAUUUUUUGUUUUGAUGGUUCAUCUGAUGUUGAGGUAUAUGAUCUUAUUUCUGAAUUAAAAAUUAUGAAGUUCACUUUGCCAGAUGGCGUAAUGUCAGCUAUGGAGAUUUUUGAGCAUGUCAGAGAUGUGGAUUGUUAUCCUAAUAUCUCCAUUGCUUACCGACUCUUAUUUACGAUGCCUGUGACUGUCGCAUCGGCUGAAAGAAGCUUUUCAAAGUUGAAGUUAUUGAGGAACUAUUUGAGGUCAACAAUGACUCAAGAGAGGUUAAACGGUUUGGCAACAUUAUGUAUCGAGAAGAAAUUGUUGGAUGAGAUUGACAUCAACCCUAUCAUAAGUGACUUUGCAUCGAGGAAUGUUAGAAGAAACUUUUAAGGUACUAUGUAUAAAUAACUUGAUAUGAAUAUUGUUUUUAGAUACAUUUAAGUAUUUAUUGGUAACAUUUCAUAUAUAUUUGUUAUAAUGUUUAUACUAAAGGGUCCCGAUUUUUAUUUUCGCCCUGGGCCUCCCAAAUCUCAGGACCGGCCCUGCAUACAGAUAUGACUCAUAAUAUGAUUUUGCAUCUUUUGAGGCAAAUCUCGAUGAAAUUAGAAGCAUCAUGAGGGCAGAUGGUUAUUCAAUAAUGGAUGCUGCAAAGCAGUUAGUUUACAUCAAACAUCUGAUUGCUAGUUCAACAUCCUAGACACAUAAAGGCAAUGACAUAGAACAGAGUUUAUGUGUGCAGGAUAACCUGAGCUGCCUCAAAUGUCGUUGACAAGGAACCAAAUGGAUUGUCGAGUGCAUAAACAAUAGCAGCAACUAUUAGGUCUGCUCUAUCAUCUAUAAUCAAUGGCUCCAACUGCUGAACAGAGAUGCACCAGAUUCCCAAAUUACAAACAGACUGCAAUAACAAAUUUAAGGAGAAAAUGGGAAUCAUAUACUAAAAACCCAAACACAUAUUCUUCGCAUAAAAAUAGUGCCUUAAGCACUCAAAAAAGAAAAAUGGUUGGCCAGAUCUACCUUCAUCCGAGUAUUCAUGAUUAGCUGCACCAAGGUAUCCAAUACAGCCUGGGACAUCUGCGCUGAAGGAUAAGAAAAAUCUAUCAUUUGCUAUGCUCAUUAAAACAAAAAAGCAGUGCUACAGCUCAUCAUGUAUGAGAGGGAAACGGGUUUGAUCUCCAUAGAGAAAUACCAGAAGCAUUAUAGUGAAUGUUUGAAAACAGAUAAUAAUGGUUGCGUUGAUUCUGAUAAACACAAACCCAAUCCAUUAAGGAUAUUUGCUAUCAAAAUGAUGACUUUUUUUCCUAGAACGUGUCAAAAUGAUGAUUCUAUCUCAACGAAUAUCAGUACAAAUAAUAUUCUAAAACGAAAGAAGCUCAUGUUGAUUGUGGAGCACUAUCGAAAGCAAAAGUUUUAGACCCAUAAAGCCUCAAACAUUCAGGUGGAGUUCAGAUAGAAAACCUCAUAUUCUAAAUACAUGUACACGAAGGAGUCAGUUUUGAUGUUAAACCACACUGCUAAUGGCCGAUAUACUUCUCAAUGAAAAGCAAUGCCCCCUCGUUCACAUCAUAGGCUUCCUCCCACAGAGCAACAGGCACAACUUUCGCUGAAUUUUGCUGAAUCGAAUUUUUUUAGCGUCGAUUUAUUCACUGAUUCAAAUUGUGUUCAACCAUCACUGAACAUUUAACUGAAGAAAUGUGGGUACAGGGAUUCAGGGAAGUACUAGUACCUGAGACGGUAGAGACGAGGACGGGGUGGUAGAGCGCGAAUCCGAGGCACUUGAGCGCGGAGGCCGCGACGGCCUCGUCAGGGUCGGCCGCGUCGCGGAGUAGGAGCGGGAGGAGGGGUGAGGGCAGCUCGGCGGCGAGGUCCGCGGCGGCGGAGGGGUCGUCGGCGCUGCCGCGCUGCAGGUGGAGGAGACGCGCGUACGCCGCGGCGCGGUCGGGCUCCGCGGCGAUCUCCGCCACCUCACGCGCCACCGACGGCGGCGCCAUGGCCGCGGAGGCCUAGGGUUUGGUUUUUUGGCGCGAAGGGUGAACGGCGGAUUUGGGCGCGCGGAGAGGAGUGGCGCGACAGUUGGGGGGGAAGUCAGUAACGAGGCGACGCGGAAAUGAGAGGAUUUACGCCAGCUCAAAGCGGGAGCGUAUUAUAGAUGUAUACGUUUCAUGCUUUGGGACGUCAAAAUUUUAUGCACCUAAAAAUGAAAACGAGCAUUUAGGUGGAGGUACCUUGGGACUGCUGCAUGCUUUUUGCACGGCUGCCCCUGCUAUUUUCCCCUACGUUAUUUUUUUUUAAAAAAAAAGGGUAAAACUUGCAUCGGGCUUAUCUUACUGCAACUGGUCAUUUCUCCUAGUGCUAUCUCUGUCUCUUCUCUACCCCACUUGUAUCUCAACUGAGUUUCCCCUUUAGUAUGAUACUCUGGAUUCCUCGUCUCCUUCCUUCUCAAAUUAUAGGUCGUUUUAGCUUUUUAAGAUGCAUACAGGGUAUAUAUCUAAUGCAUAAUAAAAUCUAUAGAUUUAAAAAAGUUAAAAUAAUCUAUAAUUUGAGAUGAAAAGAGUAGCCUACAACUCAACGACAAUCUUGUGAGCAAUCUCCCUGGGCAUCUCCUGCAGCUGCAGAGUCACCAGCCCAGACGAAGAGUCGUAGGAGAACUCCAUCUCAACUGAGCCCAGCAUGCAUUUCCUUGGCCUGACCGAAGAGUAGGCGCCGAACCUGCCGCACCCCCUCACUUCCAUGCACACCAAUCCGACGGCCUCUGAGCUAGAAGCCGAGCCAUCGCCGCCGACCAGCUUUGCCCCGUCGAGGAGGUGGUAGGUCAGGCCUUCCACCGCGCCGCCGCCGUUGAACAUGUCGACGAGGCCGAUCGGGGCGAACCGGAACCCGGGUGCCAUGUCCUGCAAUGGCGCCAUCCAUGGCGCUCCUUCAGUUAGUUUACAGAGGAGAAACUUUAGCAUCAGAAAUGGAGAUCAGAAUGGCGUUGGGUGCUGACCUUGAUCGGCGACACGGUGAGGAUGUCUUGCUCGAGGACCUUGAGCGACACGGGCAGCGCCGCGCCGUCGGGGAGGACGACGAGGUCGCCGCCGGCGUGGCGGUACACGGCGCAGUCGCCGUUCCACCACUCGGGGUCCGUCGCGGCCUCGGAGAUGAGGUGGACGUCGCUGCCCUUCACGCCGCAGGUCAGGGCCUCGGCGCCGGUGUGGUGGGACACGGUCUUCUUCUCCACGGAGCUCCACGCCGCGCCCUGGCAGUUGUACACGCCGAGGACGCCCGUGAACUUGUUCAUGUUCCAUAUCUUGAGCAAGCUGCGCGGCAGGAGCAUUGUCAGAGACGGACACGUGCGAACAAUUCAAGAUGCUGCGAGUGAAAGGUACUCAUCUCACCUGACGUCGUCACGUGCCGGGUCGGUGAACAGGCAGUCCUUGGUCGGCCGGCCAGGCAGAAGCGCCCGGAGCACCGAGCCGUCGGGCAAGACAAUCUUCUUCAGCAGAUCGAAGUCGUGCUUCCCGGGGGCAUCACUGCAUAUCCAUUCACCAAGAACACAAUUCAGCUUCAAAUUCCAAUGAAGGAUGCUGAAGAUUGGUGAAGGGUGAUGAACUGAUCGCAACCUGACAUAGACCGGGCCGCCGCUGAUGGCACGGGCCGAGCCGUGGUACUCGCCGGCGGGGUGGAGGGAGUGGAACAUGUCCCAGUCCGGGAGCAUGAACUCGCCGAGGAACACGCUGUUGUACGCCACCGCGGCGAUGUGGACCGUGUGCGACGCGGGGUCCCUCGGGAAGAAAUCAUCAGAUGCCCUCACCACCGCCGUCUGCUUCGAGCUGCCGAUUUGUCGCGUCACAGCACAAACAAAUCGGUCAACGAUUCACUAUGAGAUUCAUGGAUCAUGGUUGGGUUGGUGGGAGCGGAUUGAUCGGAUCGCGUACCAGUAGAGGGCGUCGGUGUUGUGGCUCAUGCAGGCGAUGAUGCCGUUCUCCGGGAAGUUCUUGGCGACGGAGGCGUCGAGCGCCUGGUGGUACUGCCUCGUGAGUAGCGCGCGGCCGCCGUGGCCGGCGCCGAGCGUCUCCAGGAUGCACUGCUCGUCGACCUUGACACCGUCGACGCCGGCGGCGGCGAGGUACGCGUGCUGCUCGUCGUAGAACCGGUACACGGCGCGCGGGUGCAUCAGGCCGACCCCCUGGGCGGUGAUCCAGUCGGUCACCAUGCCAGGGUCGUUCUCGGCGACUCCCGGCGAGAUCUCCGGGAACUGCAUGCUGGAGCGGUAGCGCUCCAUCCCGGCGGCGCCCGGCCGGACGCCGCCCCAGUAGCCGGUGAUGGCGUGCCAGACGAAGACGUACUUGAGCCCGUGCUCCUCCUUCGCCGCGCGCACCACCGUCCUGAUGCCGGCGGCCGGGUCGUCGGCGUUCUGGAACUUGCUGUUCUCCCUGAUACCGGUGAGCCGAGGCAGGUGGGGCUGCUUCUGCUUGGCCACGCCGGCGGGUUCGUCGGGGCUGGUAUGGUCGGUCUCGACGGACUGCCAGCCGUCGUCGAUGAUGACGAACUUGGGCGGCGCGCCGCCGGCGACGAGGCUGCGGAGCCCGGCCUCGACGCCCUCCUGCGUGACGUCCUGGUAGAAGGCGUCCCAGGUGCACCACCCGAAGUAGUCCACGAUGCCCGGGAGCUUCUUCUCGGCGCGGAGCCGGAACGUCUUAAGCGCGGACUUGGCCGCGGCGACGGCGCCGGUGAUGGCGGCGAAGGGGUCGGACUCCGCGGCGCCCACGAAGAGCGCGCGGUCGAAGGACGCCGCGCGCGUGCCGGCGUCCCCGCUCUCGACGCAGAGCUCCAGUGCGUCGUCACUCGCGCCGCCCUGGAGGCUGGCCCGGAACGCGCCCUCCACGAGCGGGAGGAACACGACGUACGCCGCCGCCGCCGCGUCCUCGCCGGCCCUGGACUCGACUAGCAGGAACUGCGUUUCGUGCGGGACGUCGCCGCCCUUGUCCCCCAUCCGCUGCGACAUCCACCACAGCUUGCUCCGGAAGCACGCCAUGAACCGCGGGCCCCUGCGCCAUCGUCGCCAAACCCAAAAUCAGAGCAAAUGCGUACGGAAUGGAUCUACAAAACGGCACAUUUUUCUCAUGGUCAGCACCGAACCUCAAGGCGCCGAGGGAGAUGACGUGGAGGGAGGCCGGCUCGGGGAAGUAGGCGCCGAUGAAGACCCCGUCAACCGCUUCCCCCGCCGCCGCAGAGGACGCCACGACGCCGGCUGGCACGCCGGACAGAACCGUCCUCCCGCAGACCGACAGCGUGCCGCCGGCGAGCUUGACGGAUGAUGUGAUCGUCAUCUCCUCUUCGUCUCUCUUACUCUGCGAUUGGGAUGGCGAGCAGCAAAACAACCUCAGGGCCAAUGACCUUAGAACAGCAUCAAGGCUGCAACAGCAGCAGCAACAAUGGUGGAUGGCACGCACCAAGGAGGGGCUGGGAAGCUGGGUCGCGAAGUGCGUGGCAAGGAUGCCAGGAGCAGGGGCGCGGGUAUAUAUGGAAAAAAAUUCAGUGCGUCCUCCCCGCACGCGGAUCCCGUGGGCACCAGCCUCCUACUGAUGACGCGUGUCCAGUAGGAUGUCCGCUCGGCUCCGUUCCCAGCGCGUGGCUCGCACGUCUUCGGCUCGCAGCGGACGAGUCCACGACGACGUAGCGCUGGGCUCGCAAGUUGGUUUCAGUUUUGCACCGCCCGGCUCAUCACCACGUAGUCAGCGCCGUAAUCAUAGGAUAGCUUCGUGAGUUGGUUCCAUCCACAGAGAAAGAUCGUAGAAACAGGUCACGCCGCCGCCGCCGCCGCCGACGAUACACGUACUGCGGCCGGCUGUGCGAGUUGCCGCCGGUUGCCUGAUGUCUUGUAGCCAUGCAAGCCAAAGGGACUCCACCUUCGGAGAUCAUUCAGAUGGUGAGGAGAAUUUUUCCCCAUCAAAUCCUCUCGUAGACACCAUGGAAACGACGAACUCUGCCCUAAUCAAUGGUGCUGUUGAUGCAAGACAGGUAUGUGCGGAAGCCAUGUACCCUUAUAACAUUGUAGAUCUAUUUGUGCUAGCUAGAUUUGUGGGCGGGAACAUCUCAAACAACUGUUACAUACGUAGGGGAACAUCACUGCUGUCAUCGAGUCCGCGUCUACAUCAGUUUCUGAGUUACCAGAAUCUAUGGCACAACAAUCAGAUACGGUAUGAGAUGUCAGUUUGACUACUAUAAGCAUUAAAAAAUCAUACUAUCUAUUCCUAGUUAUUAAACAGCUUUAAAUUUUCUCUCAUCGUACAACAGGUAUUAGAUAAAAAUGGACAGCCUUUGAUUGCUCCUGAAGUUGGAAUGGCUUUCGAUUCAGAGGAUAAAGCUUACGAGAUGUAUAAUAACUAUGCUGGUAAGGUCGGAUUCAGUAUUAGAAAGAGCCAUACGAAGCGCCGAGUUGAUAAAACUAUAUGCCAGAAGUAUAUAGUUUGCAGUAACGAAGGACACUGUGCUAAUGCGUCGUCACAGAAGGAUGUUACAAGGACGGGUUGUGAUGCCCGUGUUCAGUUUAGUGUCAGCAGAGAGGGGAUUUGGAAAGUGCAAAAGGUUGUACUUGAUCACAAUCAUUAUCUUGCUAGUCCUAAUAAAAAGCACAAGCUGAAGUCCCAGCGUCGUGUUACAGAUGCAGACAGGCAGCUGAUUGGUCAGAUAAGAGAAGCCGGGAUGAAGCCAGCCCAGGUGUAUGAGUUCAUGAAAGAAUUUUAUGGAGGAUCUGACAAAGUUCCAUUUGCAAAGAUGGAUAGCAACAAUGAGAUCGGUCGCGAGCGGAAGAAGUACUUAGAGUGCAAUGAUGCGCAGUCAUUGUUGGAUUACUUGAAGAAUAAGCAGAGAGAUGAUCCUGGAUUUUUUUAUGCUGCUCAAAUAGACGAGGAAGAUGGUCGGAUAGCUAAUUUCUUCUGGGCAGAUGGUCAGUCUAUUAUGGACUAUGCAUGCUUUGGUGACGCCGUAUCAUUUGACACCACCUUUCAGACUAAUAAGUUUGAAAUGCCUUUUGCUCCACUCCUGGGAACGAACCAUCACAAGCAAACAAUAAUUUUUGGGGCAGCAUUGAUAUUUAAUGAGAGUAUUGAAUCAUUUGUUUGGCUCUUUGAGACCUUCCUAACAGCUAUGUCUGGCAAACAUCCCAAAACAAUUUUCACUGAUCAAGACGCGGCCAUGGCAGGAGCAAUUGCCUAUGUAUUCAGAAAUACAAGUCAUCGUCUUUGUUUGUGGCACAUAUGUCUUAAUGCAGCUAAACAUCUAGGACCCUUAAUUAAAAAAUUUUCUGAGACAUUUUUACCUGAAUUUAAGAGAUGCGUGUAUGAAGAGAGAUCAGAGCCGCUGUUCAUUCAGAUGUGGCAGAAAUUGUUGAGUAAGUAUAAACUAGAGAACAACCAAUGGAUGGCAAACCUAUAUGCUUUGAGGAAAAAGUGGGCUACUAUAUACCGUGACUCUUUUACAGCUGAUAUGAAUUCAACUCAAAGAAGUGAAGGUAUGAAUAACGUGUUCAAGAAAAGAUUUCGUAGAAAACUUGGACUUACUGAACUUCUUGUAGAAUGCGAGAAGGUUUCAGCUAGCCUUCGUGAAAAUGAGUUAGAAGCAGAUUUUAACUCACGCCGAAAGAACCCAGUUACUUACAGUCCAGAUUUACCUCUAUUGAAAUCUGCGGCUGAAUCAUAUACAAAGAGGAUGUAUUUGGAGUUUGAGGAAGAAUUUAAAGAACAUUUUUCAUUCUCUUGUAAAUUGUUGCAAGCUGAUGAGUCAAUCCUCACAUAUAUGGUUACACAUAUGCAUGCUAAUCAUGGAGCAACGACUGUUUUCAACAGUGCGAAUAUGUCCGUUACAUGUUCUUGCAGAAAGUAUGAAUCCAUAGGUAUGUGCACACAUUUUGAAUUAUAAUAUAGUUUCUAAUUUGAACCAAUGGAAACUUAUGUUUUUAUUAUGUAGGUAUACUGUGCAAGCAUGCCUUCAAAGUUUUCAGUGUGAAUGAUGUUUUUAAAUUGCCGCCGCAAUAUAUAAUGGGAAGAUGGACCAAAUAUGCAAAAAGAGGAUUUUAUAUCGAGAAACCAGAAACCGAGGAAGAAAGUUUGAAAGCACGUGCUGCACGUAUGUCACGAAAGGCUACAUCCAUUACAUUGAAAUGUUCAGUGUCAAAAGAACUUCUUGAGAAUUUGGAGAAAGGCCUAGAUAAGUUGGACUUAGAAGCAGAUAUUGCUAUGAGCAAGUUGCAAGAAAAAUUCGAUGACGUUGUUGUAGUUUCUACUGAAUGCGCUACAGACACAUUAAAAGGUACAAUAUCAUUUAGAGUUCCACAUGUCAUAAAGGGCCCAAAGAAUAAGCGACUCCAAAGUGCAGUUGAAAAGAAUACAACAAAGAAGAAAAAGAAAAGUACUAAGAAGAAAGGUAUUCACCCUACCUUGCUGAUUUUGUUCCCAGGAAAGGUCCAACUUGUAUAUUAAUUAUUUUUGUUCACAGGAGAUGGUCCAAUUAAUGCCGCAGAGAAUACAUAUGAAACUGUUGAUCCAAACCAAUUGAUCGUAAAUGACUUAGACUCAUUAUUCUAGUUUUAUAUUUUUUUACUAACAACAAAUUGUAACAAACAAUUUGUUAUACAUGACACAGGACCUUCAUGGUGGCGGUAGCAUUGGCGGUUAUACUAGUACAAUGCAAUUUGCAAAUGAUUCAGCCAUGGCUGCGCCACUCAUCCAUGGAGGAGAUACUAAUGCUACAGUGCCAAACUUCACAGACUGUGUGUAUGGGCAAUCUUCUACCAUGUCUGCUCCUUUCAUGCAAGGCGGAUAUACAGACCUUUUACAUGGUGUUCAUCAAGAUGCCGCAAUGUCCUUAUCCGCUAGGAAGUUAAAUUUUGAUGAGAAGAUGUAGCUGUGUUGAUAGACAACACGCCACUUUGCAGUAUUUAUUUGUUUCAAGUAUGACACAUUUGAGAUGGAUUUUGCUAGUUACAUAUGAUAUUUCCUAUUUCAGCUGGUUAUCAAUUUGAAAUUAAUACAUAUCCUAUUCACUACAGUCAUAGAAACAUUCACAAAAUACUGUGAUCAUUUUCGGCAAAAAUAACCUCGUAUAUACAAGUUUAAGAAAGGCCAAAAUGUCAUAUGUACCUCCAAAAGGUUUGGCACCAUCUGAAAAAAUCAUGGAGAAUAAUCCUGAUCCUGAAGACUUGGUCGGAGAAGCAACACGUGAAAGCCAGGAGCAGAAUAUUUUAUUUAUUGUAUUACGAGCCGGGCAGUGGAAAACUGAAACCAACUUGCCAGCCGAGCGCUACGUCGUCGUGGACUCGUCCGCUGUGAGCCGAAGACGUGCGAGCCACGCGCUGGGAACGGAGCCGAGCGGACAUCCUGCUGGACACGCGUCAUCAGUAGGAGGCUGGUGCCCACGGGAUCCGCGUGCGGGGAGGAUGCACUGAAUUUUUUUCCGUAUAUAUACACCCCGCCGCGGCAGAGGAGACGGUAAGCUGAGCCUGCGAGCCAAAUGCGUCAUCACUGUCACGGUCGACGUCAGCAGCUGUUCGAUAUGUUACCCAUUGCUAAUUGCUAUACGGAACGGUGUUGAGUGAAUGGGUUAGUGACAUGAUGUCAUCACCCAUCACUAUUGUGUCACUCUGGGCUUAUCGCCAACUCCAGCCGAUCAUUGGAUUCUUAAUGCUAGAUCAGCAACCAAGCAUCAUUGGUAGUAGUACAACUCUAGCUAGUAUAUACUCCCUCAAAAAAAUUACAAUUUGUCCAGAUUCGUAGCCAGACCCUAACUAAAAAUUAGCUCUAAACGAGUAGACUAAAAUGUGAAGUAAUUUUUAGUUUCACCCUAGCUAAAGUUUAGUUCAUUAAUCCACCAAAAUCAUCUAAUUCGGAUUAAAGGUAAGGAAAGUAGCCAUUGGACCAUGAAAAGUCGAAAAUACCCCCCCUUAUUCCUCACCUUCUAGUCCACAACUGCAAGAGAGAGUAAAAUGGACUUUAUGUGCCUUAUGCCUUUUGGUCCAAAGAUCCAAACACGAUAUCUAAACUUUAGUCAUCUAAAAGAUUUAGCUCACUUUUAAUCACCUAAAUUUUAGUCCGAAGUAACUAAAAAAUAGUUUUAGAUGAUCUAAUCAGGAUCAAUUUAGAAAAGCCUAGCUUACUUUUUUCGGGUAGAAAAAUCUAUCUUGCCCCUAAUCAGAAACCAAGCAAGAAACCGCACGAGAGAAGAAACUCAUUUCACGGUCACAAAUACCAACCCAAUUAUCUUGCUAAUCUGAACAGCUGGCCCUGUAACAAAUAAUGUUUCUUCGUGUAUCUGCAGAUUCUAUGACAGAGUUAUUUGUCAGUUUCUGAAAUUCCAGUAUUUUGCACAUGGUGCAGCACAGUAGCAAAAGCAAAUCUCUCAAUCAGCUUAGCCUACGUUUUUAUGAUACUGUGCUAUCAGGAAAGCACAUGAGUGUAGGGGACAAGCAAUGCAAUGUAAAAUGGCAAUAACUAUUGGUAUUGCUUGGAUUCACCCACUGGAAUUAUUCCCCAUCUCAAAAGGAAUGCAACUCUCGUUUCUCGAUAAGUCAAAUAGUUUCAAGUUUGAUCGAAUUUAUAAAAAAAAAUACUAAUAUCCACGUCUCAAAAAAAUUUAGUAUGAAAAUAUAUUACAUGAUUAAUCUAUUAAUAUUUAUUUUGUAUCAUAAAUGUUAGUACUGUUUUGUAUAUAUUUGGUCAAAUUUAGAUUUAGCUGGCUUCUCACGUUCUCGGUUCCCGAGAGUUACAUUUUUUUUUUAUGGAGGGAGUACUCUAGAGAUCCUUUUCACUCCAGCUAAUGGAGAACUUUUCACUCCAGUCUCCAGAGAUCCAAGGCGGGAGAAACAGCCAAGGUCUGUCAAGAGGUUGCACCUUUCAGAGUUAGCUCUGGAACGAUGCCGGCAUCCAGAUUGUACGAUAUACUACGCUAUGGAGUACUUCUGAUUUUUUUUACAUGCCACAUGGCAUUAGGUUUGUACUAAGUCAAAUUACCUAAUUUUGACUAUAUUUGUAGAAAAAUAUAACAACAUCUACAAUACUAAAUUUAUUUCAUUGAAUUUAUCAUGGAAUAUAUUUUGAUAGUGCAUAUAUUUGGUACAUAGAUGUUAUUAUAGUUUUCUAUAAAUUUGAUUAAAGUUGAAAAAUGUUAACUUAGGAUGAACUUAAUGUGCCAUGUAAAAAAAUGUAAAAAAAUCAGAGGGAGUAUGUUACACCUUGCUUCAAUUAUGCUUGAUCAGCUAUUUAAUUUAAAAGGCCGGGAAUAUGAUCCCUUUGCUUUUUCAGGCUUGCUAGUAUACUUAAUACUUGUAUCCUAUUUCCUCUGCUUUGACAUCCAGAUCAGUUCAUUUUAAUACUAAGUUUUAGGUGAACCUAAUGACCCAGAGAAAGACAAACUGCAUCCAUAGCAAAAUUAGCAUACCUUCUCACUCAGAGCCAGGAGCAAGAGAUGAGCUUCAACUAUCAUGAGCUGCUGGCAGCAUCACCCGGCGCCCCUGCUGAACUGAGACCACUGGCUCCAAUCAACUGCAUGACUUUUAUCUUCUUCUUUUUUCAUAGGAACUAGGGCAGGUAUAUUGCGCACCUGAAUUUCUAUUGAACGACGCGUAGAAAUUUGCAUACAGGAUUUGCGAAAAUGAGAGAGAGAUCACAUCCUAGCCUAUAACAGGUUCAAUUUGUACCUUGAAGAACACAGGUGAGAUUGUGAGAUGUUUGCUCGGCGAGGUCAGAAGCCUGGCUCCAAUCAACAUUUAUCCCGAGAUAGCAUUUCACGAAUGGCAAGCCUAUUGACCCUUCGACCCACCAUCUGCCGCAGCCUGCCCGCGCGUCCGUACGUGUAAAGUGCCCCAGCGGUGAGCUGCCCAGCCCCAGCCGCCGCCAGGAUCCACUGUUUCUGCCGCUAGCGCCAUUGGCGAAAUAUCCGAUCCGAUCUGCCAUUAACCAAUCCGCCACUCGUCCAGCCGCGCCGCCGCCGCCGCCGCCGCCCAUCCAUCACGAGCUGACCCGACCGCGUGCGUCGCCAAUCACCAUGGAGCACUCAGACUCAGCAACCGCCAUCGCAGGUCCAUCUGGGACAGCAUGGCCUUCAGCUUUGUCCUCUCAUGCAGGUCAUGCAUGGAUGCCGCAAAGAGACAAGCGGGAUAGGGCAAACAUGUCGCCGUCAGAGAGGGCCAGCUGCGCGCCAAAAGCGAGAGCGCGCGCGAAACUUCCGCGGCCGUCUAUGCAUCGUCUCUUGCCCGUUCAGCUCGAGGUCGGCAUCGCCGAGAUUUUUUUUUUCUUUUACCUAAAGUGUCCCAAGCGAGAUGCGCAUCUCGUGCAGAGUCUAGUUGCAGCAACUGUGCUCUGUCAAGCUGGCUGUUAAAUGUAAAGUUUGCUGUUUGUUUCUGAUCAUGGCGAGCUUUAUUUUCUGAAGAUCUUUUGAUUCCGGCCGUAGCUGUAGCUUUCAGAGGGCCACCACUUGUGAUUAGCUUCUACAGUAUACUGCUAGCCUAUUAUAAUUAGCGUUGCAAGUGAUCAGCCCAGCUAUCAUGCACAAAUAGACAAAUAAAUGGCUGCCGGUAGUGCAGCGAUAAGCUCUCAUGCGAAUGCCGAAUGCGAUUGGGCUGGCUCACUGCAGCACGCCGAUAGGAGCGACGGCGUGAUAGGUGUCAUCAGGAUAUUUAUGAACAAAUGAUUGCAGACCUGCUGUCAAGUCAAGCUUGUAACAGUGUCAUACGGAGUAUCAUUGAGGUGGGUAGAGUAGCCCACGCACGUACGCAUCAGACCUCCCCGUCAUCUCGUCACGUAUUGAGGAGUUUAUAUCACAUUGAAUAUUUAAAGGUUAAUUAGAAGAGCUAUAUAUAAGCUAAUUAUAAAAUUAAUUACACAGAUGGAGGCUAAUUCGCGAGACGAAUCUAUUAAGCCUAAUUAAUCCAUCAUUAGCACAUGUUUAUUGUAGCAUCACAUUGUCAACUCAUGAACUAAUUAGGCUUAAUAGAUUCAUCUCGCAAAUUAGCCUUCAUCUGUACAAUUGAUUUUAUAAUUAGUCUAUAUUUAAUACUUCUAAUUAAUAUCUAAACAUUUCGUGUGACAGGAAGUGUAGGAGAACUAAAAACCAAACGGGGCCUAAUAUAAAAACCUAGCAUUAUUUGCGCAUCACGCGCUCUGCAUCGUUGACAGCCUGACAGGAGAUUAUAUUGCGUGCUAGUCGAAGUCGAGCGUGCAUUGUAGUACUAGCUACCAAGCUGACGUGGCAGAUUUUCUUCAACAAGGUAUUGUAGACAGCUUCACGGAGAGCAUGAUUGGCGCCGACGUGGCACGGGCAAGAGAAUAAAAAUAUCCGUACCAAGUCGUGCCGGCAACAAUUUGCCGCUGUCUCCUCCGCGUCCUUUUGGCUUCUCGCAGCGGAAUACUCCUGCGAUUCCUUCCCUCGUUAACCCAGGCAAAGCAACUCGAACACGUGAAAAUUUUGCAUCGCUUGCGUUGCGUACCUGGAUCUCGGCGGAUUGGCGCGCCAGCGCACGUCCACCUUUGACCAGGUCCCGCCUGGCAUCUGAUCCACCCACCGGCCACCGCGGAUCCGCCGUGGCAGCCUCGGACCCCGCGUCCUCGGCUCCGCCGCGCGAGUCGGUUCGAUUUCGAUCCCCGGGAGCCAAUCCCGUGGCGCCACCGGCUCCUCCGUCCGCCUCCCGUUCCCUCUCUCGAGUCUCGAGCAACCAGACGCCGCGCGGCCCCACGUGCCGGCCACUUGGUGGUGGAGUCCGGAGCUUGGACGAUCUCAAACGGAAGCAUUGCAUUGCCGGCUAUGAACAGGAGCUGAGUGUCCGUGAGGCCAGUCCACCGGCUAGCUCGCCCAAUCCAGCCCGGUCCCGUCGGUAGCGUGCGCGCGUGGGCGCGAGCUGCUGGCGGCAGCAGCAGCAGCAAACGGAUUUAACCGCCGCCGCCGAUGUCCGCGAUGGCGCGCAGGCUGAGAUCCAGCUGCACCAGGGCCGUCGCCUCCUCGGCGUUCCCUGCUUCCCCUUCCCCCUCAUCUUCUCUGCCGCGCCGUAUAUAUACCCUCCCUCCCCGCCCGCUGCUCCUCGCAUCCUCCUCCUCCCCGCGCCCACUCCCUCUCCCUCCGGCCGUCCCUCCUCGGUGCGUGCGGAUCCAUCCUGGAUCCGAUCGGAAUCUCUUCUUGUCGUUGUUUCAGUCUCUCCAGGUUGUUCUGGGCCCCGAUCUUAGAGUUGGUCUGUUGUUGUUGUUUUGUGGUGGGUUCGGAAGCAGGUACUCCUUUGUUAGGACUCUCGCGGCGACCAAGGGGCCUUCGCCGGCGCCGCCGAGCGACGUCGUCUCGCCGUCCGAGCAGCCGCGGAGUAAGAGGCAGGGGGAGGAGAUGACGAUCGCCUCCAAAGUCAAGCUCGCUGGCGGCACGCUGUCGGUCUGCGGGCGCACAGUGCUGUCCGGCGUUCCCGACGCGGUGGUGGCGUCGUCGGCCGCGGCGGGGGGAGCGGUCGACGGGGUCUUCAUCGGCGCCGACUUCGCGGAGCCGGCCGCCCGGCACGUCAUCUCCCUCGGCGCCCUCAGGUUCGAUUCGGUCCUGAAUCUUGAAUUCGACGGAAGGAAAAAACGAUUUUUUUUUUGCCCCCAAUCCAUUGGUGCCGAUUGGCAUUGUUUAAUUCUAUCGAUUCGGCAGAGGCGUUCGGUUCAUGGCGUGCUUCCGGUUCAAGCUCUGGUGGAUGGCGCAGCGGAUGGGGGAGAGAGGCGGCGACGUCCCGCUCGAGACGCAGUUCCUGCUCGUCGAGUCCAGGGGCGCCGGCGCCGACGGCGGGGAGGGCGCGCCGGCGUACGUCGUGUUCCUCCCGCUCGUGGAGGGCGCGUUCCGGGCCAGCCUUCAGGGCGGCGCGGGCGACGCGCUGGAGCUCUGCGUCGAGAGCGGGGAUGCCGACACGCGCGCGGCGUCCUUCGACCGCGCGCUCUUCGUAGGCGCCGCGGAGUCCGACCCAUUCGCCGCCAUCGCCGGCGCCGUCGCCGCGGCCAAGUCCGCGCUCAAGACGUUCCGGGUCCGCGCCGAGAAGAAGCUCCCGGGCAUCGUCGACUACUUCGGUUGGUGCACCUGGGACGCCUUCUACCAGGACGUCACGCAGGAGGGCGUCGAGGCCGGGCUCCGCAGCCUCAUCGCCGGCGGCGCGCCGCCCAAGUUCGUCAUCAUCGACGACGGCUGGCAGUCCGUCGGCACCGACCACUCCGCUUCCGACGAACCCGCUGGCGGGGACGAACCGCCUCGCCUGUCUCGUCUUACCGGCAUCAAGGAGAACAGCAAGUUCCAGAACGCCGACGACCCGGCCGCCGGCAUCAAGACGGUGGUGCGCGCGGCGAAGGAGCAGUACGGGCUCAAGUACGUCUACGUCUGGCACGCCAUCACCGGCUACUGGGGCGGCGUCCGUCCGGGCGCGGCCGGGACGGAGCACUACCGCUCGAACCUGCAGUUCCCCAAGGUGUCGCCGGGCGUCAUGGAGAACGAGCCCGGCAUGAAGACCGACGUGCUCACCCUGCAGGGGCUCGGCCUCGUGCACCCGCGCGCUGUGUACCGCUUCUACGACGAGCUCCACGCGUACCUCGCCGACGCCGGCGUCGACGGCGUCAAGGUGGACGUGCAGUGCGUCCUCGAGACGCUCGGCGCCGGCCAUGGCGGACGCGUGCAGCUCACCAGGCAGUACCACCAGGCGCUUGACGCCUCCAUCGCCAAGAACUUCCCGGAGAACGGCAUCAUCGCCUGCAUGAGCCACAACACCGACGCCCUCUACUGGUACGCGGUCCGAUUCACCCGCUUCUACGAUUCCAGCCCUGAAGUCUGAAACUGUAGCAGUGGCCGAUUAAUUUGAUCGUGAUGUGAUGCGACCAAUGCGCAGCUCCAAGCAGACGGCGGUGGUGAGGGCGUCGGAUGAUUUCUACCCGAGGGACCCCGUCUCGCAUACGAUCCACAUCGCCUCGGUGGCAUACAACAGCGUGUUCCUCGGCGAGUUCAUGCUCCCGGACUGGGAUAUGUUCCAUUCACUUCACCGGGCCGGCGACUACCACGGCUCAGCCCGUGCGAUCAGUGGCGGCCCCGUCUAUGUCAGGUCGCCAAUUCAUUCUACGUUUCUACUGCUGAGAAAUUGUGAUGCUGUCCGAUGAAACAUGUAACUGACAUGUGCUCUUGGUGAUGGAUUUGCACUUUUGCAGUGAUGCCCCAGGGAAGCACAACUUCGAGCUGCUAAAGAAGAUUGUGUUGCCAGACGGCUCCAUUCUUCGCGCACGUCUGCCAGGACGGCCGACCAAGGAUUGCUUGUUCACUGACCCGGCACGCGACGGCAUCAGGUGAGCUCAAUCCCCAUUUCUGCAGUUCUGGUCUGUUCACAGGGCAGGUGUUGCAUGGAGCAUGUAUUCUGACUGUGCCAUGCCAUGGCAUCCUUCCUGCAGCUUGCUCAAGAUCUGGAACAUGAACAAGUUCACCGGCGUGCUGGGCGUGUACAACUGCCAGGGCGCGGCGUGGAGCUCCGUGGAGAAGAAGAACAUCUUCCACCAGACCGGCACCGAGGCCCUGACCUGCAGCGUCAAGGGCAGCGACGUCCAUCACAUCUCCGAGGCAUCGACGGACCCCGAGUGGAACGGUGACUGUGCCGUGUACCGCCAUGCCAAUGGCGACCUUGUCGUCCUCCCGAACGGCACGGCAUUGCCCAUCUCUCUGAAGGUCUUGGAGCACGACAUACUCACCGUGUCACCGAUCAAGGUUCGUGCUCAAUUCCUCCAGCCAACUGUGUUGUGCACAACGUGGCAUGCAUUUGUGGCACAAAUGUUUGGCAAUUGUAAACUGAACGAUGAAGUUGUGGCUUAUGUCAUUGCAGGACUUGGCACUUGGCUUCAGGUUCGCCCCCAUCGGGCUGGUUGACAUGUUCAACAGCGGUGGCGCCGUGGAAGGCCUGACCUACCACCUCCUCGACGGCGCAAAGCUUGUCGACGGCAACGGCUCCACUUCUGGCUCCGAGGCUGUCGGAUUGGUGUGCAUGGAAGUGAGGGGAUGUGGAAGGUUCGGUGCCUACUCCUCAGUGAGGCCAAGAAAGUGCAUGAUGGGUUCAUCUGAACUGGAGUUCUCCUAUGAUUCUUCCUCCGGUCUACUGACGCUGCAGCUGGAGGACAUGCCCAAGGAGAGGGUUCACAAGAUUGUUGUUGAGUUGUAGGGGGGUAGUGGUAGCAUCAGAGUAUCAGUGCAUCAGAAAUUCAAGUGUUAUGCCAUGAGUGAUCUGUCCACUGAUAAUUAGACCUCCCCCUCUGAUAGCACAUUGAUGGUAGGGACUGGAGUGGGGGUAUGAUUCUAUAGUGCAAAUCUGAUUAUUGAUUCAAUUGAAAGGAAUAUACGCGCAUAAUGUCCAGAUACUCGGGCACUCCGAUCUUCUACUACUAGCCUGGACUGUGAACAGAUACCCUUCAGAAUUGUAGUAUCUUAAAACGGCUCAAUCUCUGAACCUUUCAGUAUGAGGCACAUGGCGCAGCAGUGCGUGAAAUCAAUCCAUUGGACAAUGCUCUGCAUCGAUAAUCCUGAGUUCUAUUCCAUGCCUACUUGUUUAGCGUAACGAAUGCCGUACUAUCAGGAAAUCACACGUCCAGGAGGAUAGGUGCUGAGCAUCGUUUUGUUGGCACUAGGCAGCUCCGCAUGCCUAGUUGUUGACGAUUACCACAAUAGUCAAGUUCUGUAUGGCACAAGGGAACGCCAAAAAGGCGUAAAAAUACAUAACAAUUCCAAACAACCGGCUUCGCAUAUUUGAGCUUUGCAAUUUUGACACCCGAAACAUGAGGUUGCUUAAUUUCUUAACAUUAUAACAUAAUCACAUUUUGAUAGAUUGUAGUCUUUUUUUUUGCGCUGUUGGUAACAUUGCAUGAUAUUUUAGAAAUAAAUGUUUCUACAUAAGAACGAUACCUGUAACUAGUUCAUGAUUCACAACAUGUGUAUGUAUAAACAUGGUUGAUAGACAAAGUAGUAGACACAUGCGGAGGCACGUCAUGCUGCGUCCCCUCGCGGUUGCUAGGCCAUACCAGGGCGACGCCAUGGCCCUUCUCUCCUGCUGGCUCACUCUCGCGGACGGGCACAGGCUCUUCCUUUUCGCGGUGCUGGGCGUGCAAGCGGAACGGUGCUGCACUUCAUCGGGACACAAGCAAACUGGAGAAAAACAAACAGAGCGAAGGAUAGAAAGAUUAAGCAAUGGCAUAAGUGUCAUUUCUCAUACAGAACUUAGGAAAAAAAGAAAAGAAAACAUAUUAGAAAGGUGAAAAUGUAAGGAAUCAAGCAUCCUUAUGUUUCGGGUGUUAAAGUUACGAAGCAAAGUGAAAUAUGCAGAACCGGUUAUUUUGAGUGUCAAUACAACAAAUUUAUCGCAUACUUCUUGACAGAAAUUGCAUUACUUGAUUUUCCCCGCUGCACUAACUCCAGUGAUUUCUUCCUCCUCUCUCAUAUACUUUGCUCCAUAGUGUGUGAGGAACAGGGGGGACAAACCCCCCCCCCCCCGACCCACCCACCCACCCACCCACCCAACUCCCCAAAACCCUUUAGAUUUGAAUUGGCUGCCAUUUGAAUUUAAGAUCUGAAUGUAAUCAUUUCAUGUGACUAUGUAAGGACAUAUUGUGAUCUAAAAGAUGGCAUUGCUCGGCAUAGAAUUCAGCAAUUAUCUAAGUAUAGAAACCUACGCGAAUGAUCAUAAACGUAUCGAGUUGUUCUUUUUCCCUUUGAAAUUUGAUCCAAUCAUUUUCGUGCAACUUGAUUGAACACAUUCGUGAUGACAAAAUAUGACAUUCCUCAAAUAGGAGUAUAGGAUGCGUGCAAUCUUAGACGGAGGAUACCCCCCCCCCACCCCCACCCCCAUUGUCAUGGUGGGCAAACUCUAGCAAUAGCUCUUAAACCAAAGCUCCCAAAGAUCGAAUGUGAUUCUCUCUAUUUUUUUCAAGGGCCAUAAAAGUAUAUCCAACUCCAGCAAUAAUAACCCCCAUGGAUAGAGGACUCCUAGAGAUCCCCCGGGAAUGGAGGGUGGAGCGGGAAAUUUGAAGGCCUCCCAAAAAAAAGGAAGAGGGGUAGAGAGCCUGCUGGAGUGGGUUUUUUUAUUUGACCCUCAGGAAUAUUUAGAAGGUCUGCUGGAGUGACUCUAAUGUACUUAUUCAAGUCUAUAUUUUGCUAAUCUACCCAGCCCGCUGCCCGUGAGGUGGAGAUUGCGUGGAUCGCCGGUAAUUCUGGUGGUAGUUCCGGUUCCGUUCCUUAUCAUGAGCGGUUGGGUUCUUAAUCAUGUCUCGUGUCCGUCUGUUUUCUCAUGAUGUUAUUACGUGUAUAUAAUAUCACCAUACUAAAGUAUACGAUGCUUUAGUUUAGUCCUGAAUUUGAUUUUUUAAAAUUUAGCAGUCUAUAGAAAAUGUUAGUGUUGCUAAUAUUUAAAGUGACCAAUUUUCAGUCGAAACAUAUACCAUCCAUCUGCUUGCUUUUACCACAGGUUAAAACAAAGGAUGUUGCUAGUGUCCGAAUGUCCGAUGGGAAAACUUGCCAUCGGACGCUCCAUUGGUCCAUCGCAACAUAAAAAAAAUAAUGUCUGCAACAUAAAAAAUAAACAUUUGCAACAUAGAAAAUCAUUAUUUGCAACAUCAAAAAACAUGUUGAAUAGGGAGGAGGAUGGUUCCUACUGCAACAAAUGGGGAGAUGUUUCGUGCAACAUCCAAUACAAAUCCUCAUUUUUAGUCAAAAGUCUCGCAACUCUGCAAAGUAGCUAAUGAAACAUCCAAAAACACCUUAUGCAACAACCAAAAGAUUUGUUUUCAACAUGACAAAAAAGGCGCAACAUGCAGAAAGCCUCCCCGCAACAAUUAUAAAUUGCAUCUGCAACAUGCCUACCACAACAUUAGCCUGCAUGCAUCGGUAUGGAUCGUCCCCUCCACUUCACGUCGCUGCGAGCAACACCGCUGCUCCCUCGUCAGUGUCGUUGGCGUGGUGGCCCAGGAAGGCGGAAGCAGAGGGACGGCUCCUCGCCGCCUAGGGGUGGUAGGACCAUGGGUGCGCCAUGCGAUGGAUUUCGAGCGUCAACAGCGGCAUCGGCGCAGGGGGCGGUGGUGGCUGCUGUGCCUUCGUCGCCCGCCGCCGGGAAGAAGACCGCCGCCUCGUGCGCCUCCUCCGCUCACCUCGAUGCUGGCUAGUUUGGGUUAUGCACUUGAGCCCGUGAAUCGGGCAGUGGCGGCGGGAUUCGACGGCGGGUUGCGGGAGCGGGGAGGAGGCGGGGGUAGAAGAGGAGGAGGAGAGAGAGAGAGAGGGAGAGAGAGAGAGAGAGGCGCGUGGGAGCAAGGACGAGGGACGCGGCCCAGUGAGGAGGUUUGGCUCGGCGGCGCAAAUGAUUGAGGAAGAGGAGCGCGAGCAGAUAAGAGCGUUAGUGGCUGCGAGUAGCGAGUGGAGCAUCCAAUUUUUGUUUCUGGUGUCGGAUGCCCUAAGCGUAGCAAUACCGCAAAAUAAAUUUUUUGUACUGCUUAAUUGGUAACGACAUGCUUUUUCCGCUUUUGCAUCAUGAACGCGCUGGAGAUAUCGAUCCUUGGCCGAGGGGUGUAUGGGUGCACCCAUUCGAGGAACAAGCGACAUGGCCGCCGCUGCCGCCGCGCCACGCUCUACCCAUCGAGGAUGCCUCCCGCCGUUGCCCACUUCCAGCUUCGUGGACAGACAUUGAAGCUGCCGGCCAGCGCGUGCGCUGCGAGGCGCAGGCACACGAUUCUAUGUCUAGGACACAUCGACGCACAACAACUCACCAUGGGCCUCAAGCACGUGCCUCUCUUUGAUGAGUUAAUUAGUUGCCGCGGCAGGUUCGUAGAGGCACUUGCACGCGCCACUGGGGAGGGCGCGGCCGAGAUAAGCACAACGUCGCGGCCUGGCAGAUGUGCUGCUCCAGGAACGACAACGCGGACUCCCGACUCCCGAGUGGUCCGGAGGGGCGACUCGGGAGGCGACUGCGCUCGCACCUAACCACCCGCCACCUGCUCGACUCCGCGGCAUCGAAGCCGGCCCCCCGCGUCGCGCUCUCUCCCUCCCUUCCCCUCCUCCUCUCUCCCUCUCCACUCCUACUCCGCAAACCCUAGCGCUGCCGGUAGCCGGAUUCGCCGCCGAUCGUCGGCCGCCAAUCGCCGUGGGCAGAUCCACCUCCCCUGAGCCCGGAUCUACUCAUCUUGGGCGCGGGGGUCCCUUCCCCGAUGGCCGCCGCGUCCCCCCCCCUCCGCUGCCCGGAGUAUAGGGGGCCGCGGCCGGAUCCGUCGGGAGGCGGGGCUCUACACGCUGCCACCGCGUGGCUGGCCGUGCCGCCACCGGCGCGUCCCCCCUCCCUCUCUGGUGGCGCAGCACCGCCGCCGGCGCUGCUGGCGCGUGCUGGGGGGCGGGGUUCUGUGCGCCACCGCCGCGUGGCCGGUCGCGCCGCUGCCGGCGCGUUCCCCUCUCCCUCUCUGGAGGCGUAGCGUCGCCGCUAGCGCGUGCUGGGGGGCGGGGCUCUGUGCGCCACUAUCGGCCGCGCCGCUGCCGGUGCCACGGGCGCGUCCCCCCUCUCCCUCCCUCUCUGGUGGCGCAUUAUCACCGGCUACGGGGCCGGACAACUGGUUAUGUGGCGACAUUCCUCAGCUCGCGCCCGGCGGUCCCCGUGCUCCUGGUGGUGGCGGUAUUUUUUGGGGAAGGAACGGGGUUACACAAAAGCCUUGUGCCUGCUUGCAUGUCGAUGACGGCGACGCCGCGGUUCCCUUCUCGAAGGCGUCAUUCAUCCCCCCCCUUUCCCCUCCCCUACAGCGAGUUUUUGGGUGAAAACUUUGACCGUGUUGAUCGGACGACGACGGCGCCAGUGACAUCGCUCCCUCCCUUGAGGCGUCAUUUUGGAAGCUCAGCGGGCUCUUGCUGCCUUCACUAUAGGGAUCGUUGCUGAACGCCGCCCCCGAUCGUCUCCGGCCGGUCAGGGUCCUCGUGGUGGUCAUCUUGGGAAGUGUCUUCUUCUGCGCCUGCCCUUGCUUCGAUUCGUCCACCUGCCUAGGUUGCUUAGUUCGUCAUUGUCUAGCGGAUGCUUUGCCGCCGUAGUUGCUUCGGGCGGAUGCUUUGCCAUCGCGGUUGCGCGGGUUGGGUGGAUGCUUUGCCACUGUUGUUGUGUUCGGGUGGAUGCUUUGCUGCCGUGACCUUUAGCACCCUUAACGAGGUUGUAUCUUUUGGCAUGUUUAGGAGAGUGGCCGUGUCUAGGUUUGUGGGUUUGAGUGUGCUUCUCCUUGUUGUUUUGCGUCGUAUGGUGGUUGUUUGUGUGUUUCUUCAGUGUUUCUUUUUCUUUAGUCUAGUGCUGAUCAAGUUCUGGUUAGCUUCAUCAUCGAGAUUGUGUCUUUAAACUGCUUUCCUCUUAAUUCUUAAUUGAGCUUAGGCACUCUAGAAAAGGAACGGCAACGCGACAAGCAACGUCCGUCACCGCCAUUCCAGGCACGAGGGCGAGCCAGCCGGCCGACCCCGAACCUGAAGCACACCGUAAGUGGUGAGAUCCGGCGGCGCUCUUGCUGCCGCACCAUCAAAACCGUCCAUCUGGGCGAGCACGUAGCUGGCAGCUCUACCAGCGCGCGCUGCGCCUCGCAGCCAGUCUCGCCGGCUCGCCGCCCGCGCGCCCCGGCGGCAGACCGCGCCGACGCUAUGGCGUCGACCACGCCGAUGCGGACCGUCGGUUGCGCCUUCUCCAUGGGAAGCUGGAACACGUUUUGAACAAUCUUGGCCCCCAGGAGAGGCCUUGACGGCGUGGCCGUCGCCAAUGGAAUGGCGCCGCCGAGUCGGACCCUAGGGGGUGGUUGGUAUCUCGUCUACCGUCCGGGGUGGACGGUAAAUGAAAUACCGUCCGCCCCGGGACUGUCUCGGACGUUGGAUCGGAUUUGGGCGGCUGAGAUCGACACGGAGAGCUGCAAGUAGCGAGGCCCUCUCCGCCUUCACCGCGCGACGCGACGCAUCCCCUCCCUGCCGUUUACCCUCAGAGCCAGGGACCGUCUACUCUGUGCCGGCGGCAGCGGUGACGCGGUGUGGACGUUGGCGGCGCAAUUGAGCGGUUCCGAGGUCAGGUGUGAUAAAAGCUGGACAUGGGAGAUCCGCCGCAGAUCGUGGUCUUGCCGAAGCCGCUGCCGUGCAUCACGGCCAGCACCCAGCAGCUCCAGCGCUGCAUUGAGAGUGUUCAGACCGUCAGUCAGACGCCAUGGCCGGAGUUCCUCGCAUCCUCGGGGUCGGCAUCUUCGACGAUGACCCUGCGGCGACCGUACGUUGCCAUCAAUCCGCUGACCGGAGGUGCCAAUGCCAUUGCCACCUCGUUGCGCUUCCGGACCCUAGCUCCCAGCUCUGGACUGAACGGCCAGGAAGCCUCAUCGUCCCUAGUAGGAUAACAAUGUGACCUUGGAAUUCCACAAGCUGUAACGAGACUGCAUCUGAUUACCUGAUGAAAAGCUGAUCGUGUUCCGUUGAACAAAUUUCAAGCAAAGCCCAAAGUUACCCGGGCACAAACGAAAGAACAGAAUCAUCAGCAAGUUUACCAAUUACAGCGUGUCCAGGUUCUCAUAACUAACCGAAUGGAAUCCGGAUGCCGGAUACAAACACUGCGUGAGCAGCAGGCUGCAGACCAGAGAGGCCAAGCACAACCCUGAAAGGCUGAUGCAGAAUUGCAGAUUGCAGGUGAUUGGUCAUAUCUCCUUCCAUGCCCUGUCAGGCCCUGCUUCACCUUCUCGCCUUCUGCGCUCGGUACUCAUCGUGCGCGCAGGGAGGCCCACAGGCAGCGACAGAACGCAGCUUUCUUCCCUUCCCCACAACGAAAUCACCACUCCAGCAGAAAAGCUUUUCUCCCCCCUGUCGUCCACGCUUCGUCCGUGCACGAUUGCGCACGCCCCGUCCAUCCGAGGUGGGGGCAAGGGGGCCCACCAGCCAGGACCCGAGACGCCAACGCCUUGACGGCACAUGCGGGUGGUGAGGUCCGCACGCUUUGCUGCUGUAGCUUUCAAGUCUUUCACCUUGGGAUUCUUGGGAUGUUUCGACAGUUUGGGUCAAUCCGUACCGAUUUUACCUGCUCGCCGCCAUGGACAUUUUUCACUGUGCGCGCUUUGGCGAUGGCGAGCGGCGAUUCAGUAGUAAAAACAGCGUGAGGGGGGUACGGACAGAAGGAACGUCAGGAUUUUUUCAAGCUCUGAACAUUGUAAUAGUUCUUCUUGUAUUGAUUGAUUGGUCCGUGGGGUCAGGCGAUUUGAUCCGGAUGCUCCAUGUCUCAACAUUUUAGCAGUAGAUCGAAGAGCAAUCAGGCAAGGUGGGGGCAGCUGUGUCAUUUCAAGCAGGGAUGUGGCGCUUUAGCCCUGUAGAUUUUUGAGCGUGUGUGCUGCGCAGCCGGCCACAGCGCUUCCACUGCUCAGGCCUCAGUGUGUGACAAGAUGCAUCCACCCACGCUGAACCAGCAGGGAGCAGGCCUCAGGCACGCACACACCCAUCGCCAUCAGAUCGCAGGCCGACUGUUCAGGGGUAAGCGAAGCGGCCUGCCCCGGCUGGCCAUGUCAAUGCUUCAGGCUGCAGCCUGCAGGCUGCCGGUGCGCAAGACCACACACAAAGCGAAGCGCGGCGGCGGCAGAGCGGCAGGCCGGGAAAAGAACAAUCACUGGGAACGGCAUGCAGCGCGUGACUAUUUAAGGAAACCCCCUUGACCUCGCCGGCGUGCGUUGGCGAGAUGUCAUGAGCGCAAUGGUGUCCGGACGGAGCACUACGCCCCAGGGGCCAGGGCAUGCGGCUUCGCGGUUCGCGAAUGGAAGUCCCAUCGCCAUCGCCUGGCCGGCCAUUGCUUUGGCCGUGGCCUGUGGCUGGGGAUCGACUGGACGGAGGGCUGGGUCACAGAGGUGGUAGGGCCGUGUUACAGCGAAUAAAGGGGAAGUACAGGUACUAUGAUUUGAGGCUUCAGGGCUCUUCGGCAGUGCCUUUUCAUUUCGCCAGCAAAAGAUCUACUCAUUGCAUCCCCUUCAGCAGCAGCUUUCACCAGGCCACCUUUUCCAAUCAGUUUUCUUUUCUUUCAGAAAAAGCUGUGCUCUCACUUUUGCUCCUAUUAAAAAAACUGCAAUAAUUAGUACCAAACGGUUACACGAAGAAUGAAAAAAAAAACAUGAGGAUGCAGUAAUACGGCACUGGCAAGUACUUUGCGUUUUCGAAAAGGAAAUCGACAUGGAAUCUUGAGUAAUCUAGUCAGUCCAUGCGUUAUCCAGUGACAAUGUCACAAACUCACAAUGAUAUGAGAAGGAGCAUGAACUAUAAUCCUUACAUACACGCGGUGAGGGAACCAACCUUUAGGUGUAAAACUGUACUACCAAGACGGAGGCAGUAACAAACACAGUAAGAAGGGAAAACAACAGCAAUAGUAGUAUGCUAACAUGGCACUGCAGGUACUGUGUGUUUUUAAAAAAGAGAAGUCACAAAAAAAUUCAAGGCAAUAUGAAAUCUUGAGUGAUCUAGUCAGCCGAUGCACCAUAUCAAGCAACGUUGACUGAGAAAAAGGAGCACGAACUGCCCUUACAUAACACAUGGUGAGGGGGCCUAAACCUAAAGAUUUCUUUGAACUUGGAGGAAUUCCUGAAUAUCUUGUUCAUCCUUGUAGUCCCACUCUCAUCACUCGAUCUCUACCUGCAUGGUUUAGCGUGUGCGCGGUGGCGUCAUUUUCGCACCGGAUCGGAGCUGAGUAGCUGAUUAAGCAGGUGUGGCUUUUCACUGAAACGCCCUAUGGGAGAAUCUCAAAAUAACCUGACAUUUAGUUUUUUCUCUUUCUUGAAAUUUUUGCUUUAGAUAUAUAAACACCUUCCUGUCUUAAAUAAUGACAAGCAAAUCUCACGCUGGUUCAAGGUUUCCACAAAAAAAAAAAACCCGAAAAAAUAUCACUGCUUACAAUAAGUAAGAGAAAAGAAUAACUUCUUGGAGAAAAAUAAACAGAAGAACAUGAAUUUACUAUUUGUUCAUGAACUUGAAUUAACAAAGUAGAACUUCUUAGAGGGAAAAAAAACCCCAUUGUCAAAAUAACAGGAAUAAACUGAAAAACUGUUAGUUCCCGACAAAGAAAGGAGAAGAAGAAAUAUCAAAGUAUGGAGGAAACCAACAAUUCAUGGCAGGAGAGUACAGAUGAAACUAAAUCUUGCCCAUUACCGGUAGGAGAUAGACAGGAAACAUCUCCGUCGGUGCAUAUACCUUCCCAUGCAAGAGGAAGAGCUAUAUUCUCUCUGGGCACCAUGCAUCUACACAACACAAGCGGCUGAGGUUAUGAGUGCUUCACAGGCCACGAUGCUCAGCCCAAUUGGCCUCUCUCUGUAGUUUCCCACAGCUUUAUUGAACUGCACGUGCCCACGCAAGUAGCAGAAGGCGCAUCUCCUUUGCAGAUGCAGUUCAAGAAAGCUGUGGAAGAUCACAAAGAAGGCCAUGGUGGUCAUCCAGUGCAAGAGGAAGAAGAAACAAGGGGGUGGAGGAGGAAGAGGGGAGAGCAAGGGCUAUUUAUACAGAAAGAAACAUGGUGAGAGAGAGGAGGAGGAAGAAGUAGAGGGGGGUAACUGGUAAGAGCAGCCCGGGGUCUGGUUGGUGUGAGAGGCUAAGGACCCCAAUCCCAAGAAGAAUAUAGAACCUGAACACUAGUCCAAGCCAGCCAAGCUGUGUGCGUGUGUGUGGACCUAGGAGGGAGACUUUUUGGGCAGAUCAAUCCAAGGAGCUUUGUUCAUGGCAGGGGAGACAGAGGGCGAGUUCUUUAAUCCACACUUGUAGCGAGUGUACCAGUGUGCUUAAGCUUUACUGUUGGUGGUGGCUGUCUUUGUGGGGGGUUUUUUCUCGCAGAAAACAUGCUUGUUCUGCGGUUAGGGACGAUGCGAAAAGCAGUGGAAAGAUGGAGCCUUUCGCGCGCCCUUUCCCCUGAUGAUCGCGAGUGGGAUACAGUUACACCUGCAUAUGCAGUGACCAGGUCGAUUGGACAGCGUCUCCACGGGCAAUUCUAAAGCGAGAUUUUGCAUGGGGCCUCGGCCGAUCCUGCUGGGCCGGACGGCCGGCCGGAAAGAUCGCGUGAAAGCUCUCCCGGAAGCCGGAAUGGCUUCGCUUGCCUUGUUUGUUUCCGGCAGGCGGCAGCGAGAGGUGUUGGGUGGGUUGAAUGUUCAGCUUGUUUCCCGCGAAAGGUCUCACGAACGGACGCCCGCUGCCUGCCAUCUUCCUUCUCGGGGAUGCCAAGCUGCCAGCCUCAAAAGGAGGAUGCCUUUGGCGAGCGAUCGAUCGCCUCGAUGUUCAGCUCGGUGUCCCCAGCCGUUGACUCGUCCAAAAAUGGCCGAUGCAACGAUCGUUAUCGCCUCUUCUCCUCAGUUUAGCCGGAGGUGUAGUGUAGAAGGUUAGCACUAAAAUUUCCUUUUGCUCUGAUGCGAGAAUAGCACCAGGGUACUUGCGGACGCGGUGCGUCGGUCCAAGCCGCACCGGCGCCAACCGUGCUGCCCCAUGCUCGGGGACGCCGCCCCGCCCCGCGAAAUCUCGCGACAUCGAUCAGAGCGGCGAGCUCGUAUAUGCGGCGCUCCUUCCUCGGCUGUCCUUCCUUCCUGGCAUGGCGCGCGUGCCAUCCCAUCCCCACCACCUCCCCGUUCCGAUCGAGGCCGGUGGCAGCACGGUGUCAGAGCCUGGCCGGCGGGGCGAUCGGGCGGGCGGCCUCGAUCGGGGAAGGCGGCGCGCGGACCGGGGUCCUGGAGGCCGGAGGAGAGGGCCGGAUCACGCCUCAGGCGGUCAGGCCUGGCCAGCCAGGAGUAUAGUAGUGUUGGUCUCACGCGCCAAGGCCGGCUUUUUUCCUUCGUCGGUCAGGUGGCCCUGUCAGCGGCUAACUUGCGUUGUUUGGAAGCAAGUUAGCCUGCCAGCAGUGUCAGCCCGUCGUCGCUCGUGCAUGGCGUCUUACACGCAGCAGCGUGUGCUUCUACGGUAGUGCAGAUGCGUCGCUUGUUCAAAACCCCCUCUCGAUCCGGCUCGAAGCGUGCCAGCUCAAUUCAGACGACGAUGAGUGCGUGCCCCUAUGGAGCUAGUUUGUACCCGUCGUCACCUGGGUGGGCGCGGUACACGCACGGCUCAGCGCGUCCCCGCGCGCACGGGGGCACAUGGACUCGGCAUGGCUCUGCGUGAUGUGAUUGGGCAACCGGAGGAGGGGCCUCGUUUCGUCCGUGUCCGACGCGAGGGAGUAGUCAGCACUCAACACCCAGCGCACGCGCGUGCAACAGGGAUCUCGAUCACUCGGUGGGUGGGGUGGGGGGAGCAGGGGCUGGCCCGCCGGCCGUGCGACGAAUCUUGGACGCUUGCGCGCAGGCAAAGGCGCCGCGCGCGAGCGCGCGAGACCACCGCCCCCGCACGCACGCGUUGCCGCGGCGGGCGGGCGUCGGGGAUGGCAUGUAGCGAUGGAGGUGGAGCGCGCGCGGCGGGGUGUGUGGCGCGGCCGCGAGCGUCGCGGCCCGGCAUGGCGCGCACGGGCGCCUGUCCACCGAUCGGGGGCACACGGUCGCCGGGGAAUCAGCGCUCCCAGAACGUGCCGCGGCGGCCGGGACAGCCACCGAUCCUGAUUCCUGAGUGGUCUGCUCCAUCACUUCACUUCAGAGGCAACCAGACACAUCGCCUCGCACUUGAGGGUGGACUUCUCCUUCGCCUCGUCACCGUUUGAUGGCAUGACACGGGUUGUCUCGACGAUAUCCGUGGGGCCGGCGCCAUGAACCGUGAAGUGAGUUUUGCUAGGAAGGGUGGUGAAAUCGCCAGUGUUUCCACGGUGGAGGGAGAGCGGUGUACAAACAAGUGUCACUGAGCGAUGCUGCUCAUGGCAGAAGGGAGGACGUUCUGUGUGCAGCCUAUUGGGGUGUGCCGUGUGAUACAGAAGCCCAAGCUUAGUAGCCCAUGGACUGAAAGAGAAUUCGCAAGGAACCUCCACAACAACCCAACACAUUCGCUGCGCGGAAACGUGGGAAUAAAGGAUCAGCAGAUCGGGCAAAACGAGAAGUAAAAUGUGCUAGCGUACGUAGUUACAUUACAUACACGCUCACAGAAAUAAGAAUCUAGGAUGAACUAGGUUCAAUAAGCGCACGACAUACUGCAAGGCACCCAAAAUUUCCAGGCAUAUCAGUCAAAGACACGAGAUGUGCAGAACAUAGCAAAUUGUUUUGUUGAGCACUAAACCAGAUUUUUAUCCAACACGCACCUAAACGAUAAUUUUUUGCCUAAUAAGGUAGUAAGUAACUGGAUGUAUAUAUCGGAUGUUUGGAUGCUAAUUAGAAGUAUUAAACAUAGGCUAAUUACAAAACUAAUUGCACAGAUGGAGUAUAAUUCGCGAGACGAAUCUAUUAAGCCUAAUUAGUCCAUAAUUUGACACCACGAAUUAGCACAGGGUUCUGUAAUUAAUUUUAUAAUUAGCUCAUGUUUAGUCCACCUAAUUAGCAUCCGAACAUCCGUCCAAACACCCCCAAAGUAUAUUCAACCAGGGAAAUUCUAUACCUCUUAGAUGAACGAUACUCACCAAUUUCACAGGUAAUACAAAUUCACCAAUUUCAGUACGGCAAUAGAAUAAGCCCGCACCAAUGUGACAAAGCUGAAUGAAGAACUUUAAACACGAGUGCAUCGAACAGGCAAAGCUAGAGCAGGAUUUGUGACAAGUAAAUCCACGGUACCUAUUUUAAAGCGAGCACGUUAGCUGAUUAGCACCAACCAAGUGCAAAGCUAUAUCCGGUGCAUGCCACAACUAGGUUCACUGUAGCAACAUACAAGACUGAAAAAUAAACUAUGGUGCUUAAUUUCAACCCACAGAUUCAUGCCACCAGAAAUUCAGUGAAACCCUGCUAUUCAUGAUGCUGUUGACUGAAAAAUGCAACGCAUUGAGUACAUCGAAGAGCACCAAUAUGACAAGGGUCACAGAAAGGCACAUGUUGUGACAAGGACACCUAUAACAGCCACCUUCAUGCAUUUCGCAAAUCAUAAUGGUUAACUGCCAGAGAUAAAUUUAAAGUCUAGAACUAGAGUUUUUUAAGUCAUUAAAUAGCAUACUUGGCCUCAUAACACAACCAGGUUAAGGACUAUAUGCACACUGAGAUCACUUCAACCUUUGAUCAGAAAAUGUUUGCAAAGCUACUUGAGAAAAUGGCCACUUGAGGGGAAUAAUAGAACAAGUAAGCGGACUCACUUUCUACUCUUAGAGCUAGACCUCAGAUUCCAAUAAGUUUGAUCAAAUAGCAGACUCAAAUUUCCAAUAGCUGACACAAGGAGCAGAAAGAUGUUCAUACCAGAACCAUUUCCACGCUAAUAGAAUUCAGCAUGCAAUGCUGCAGUCGUACAGACCCCAUUCAGGACUCGUGCAACAAAAUAUGGUGAUCAAAAUUUAAAAUGCCAGAAGAGAAAGCUGGGGGUUUAUGCCAUUUAUGAUACAGCUGAAUUUAAGGACGGAAUGCACAAGCAACGACCUAGACAAGACUAUCGGGAGUCAAGCGACAACACGCAGUAAUUUCACAAGCCCUACAUUUCCAAUUACUUUUCACAUUGAUUGACCCGGACAUGCGGGAUCUACACUCUAGAACAAGACUUCACUUGGACAAUAGUUUCAACAGAAUAGUAGGCUUGAUUUCACGAUUAUUGGGAUUAGUGCAGAAGUACUGAACACUGUGGAAACUGCAACAUUUCAUACUUAGAUCAGUAUGCUUCGAAUACGCCUAACACAAAUGGUCGUUUCCCUAUCAAAGAGAGGAAUUAUAGACGUAAUGACAUGUAGAACUAAUGUCUGAUAGCCUUAAACUGAUCAUUCCACGUAAAACCAUAAAGUGACACAUAUUUGCAGCACAUCCACAUACCAAAACACGCAGCCAUAAGCAUGAUAAAGUCAUGGGCUCAUAUCACCAUAUCUCAAAAUCUUAACGAGGUGCACAUACCAUCUCAAGUUUCCAUCUCAUCACACGAACAACGAAACUGAAACUACAAAAGGUUCUUCCUUUGCUUGCACAACGAAACUACUACCAACAAGAGCAUAAGCAUACUGCGAACGGAAAGGAGGAACCGGGGCAGGGCGGGCCGGGGGCCGCGCGGCGCCUACUUCUCGGAGGAGUUGGGCCCGCGCUUCUUGCCGAAGCCGACGACGGCGGUGACGAAACGGCGGUUGUACUGCAUCCUCUUGUGCGCGCGGCCGCGGGGCUUCUUCUUCUUAUCCUGCUUCGCCACCUUGGGCGUCUGGCCGCGGACCUUCCCGGCACGGGCCAAAGAUCCGUGCACCUUACCUGCGCGCAGCGACACGAAAACCCCGAUUAGCGCAUCAGUAGGCGAUGAAGUAGCAACCAGAGAAGAGAGAUGAAAGGAGGCGAAGGUGGUUACCCAUGGCUGAGAAGCGGCGGCGCGGCGGCGGCGACGGAGGCGCGGGCGCGGAUGCUGGGAGAUGCGGCGGCGGCGGCGGCUGUUGGGAGGGAAGAGG
rnacentral:lncRNA from 1 species